UUUUUUUUUUUUUUUUUUGUCCCCCCACCCCCCGGUUUUUGUACUACCUUUUUCUUCUUCAUUAGUUUAAUAAACGCAAGGGGCCCCUUUUAUUUAAAAAUAAAUAAAAAUGUAACCAGAUAAUAAAUGAUACAUUGCAGGAAGCAUGGCAAAACCCUAACCAAAUCUUCAAUAUUUCUUCUUUGAGGAUAAUUCUGCACAAAAUUCUCAUAUGGGCCAAAAGAAAUAUUUUUCAUAUAAAGUUAUCCCUAUUAUAGGAUUAUUUGAUUGAGCGAUCUAGGAUUAGAGAGAGAGAGGGGUGCGGCAAGCUUUAGGGAGAAGAGAGAUUGAUUUAACUGGUCUUUGGUUGUCAAAAUUGUUCUGCUCCGAAAUGUUUGAAUCAAUCAUAGAAAAUAAAGGAAAAUUACACAACUUAAAAACUUUUAAAUAAUAAUAGGAAGAUCAAAGUUUGGAAACUAAGGGAAAGAGAAGAAAAGUCUGGUAAAACUUCCUUAAGACAAAUUAUCUUAUUGCCAUGGUUGCUUUUGUGGGGUUUAGUUUUUUUUUUUUGUACCCCCACCCCCCGGUCUUUGUACUACCAUUCUCUUCUUCAUUAGUUUGAUAAACGUAAGGGGCCCCUUUUAUUUAAAAAAAAUAAAAAUGUAACCGGAUAAUAAAUGAUACAUUGCAGGAAGCAUUGCAAAACUAGGGGUGGGCAAACGGGUCCUGGACCUGCGGGUAGGGACGGGUACUGUCGGUUCGGGACGAGUUCGGGGAGGGGCCAAAAUUAAUAGAGACAAAACGGGGCGGUGCGGGUCCAUAACUUGAGAACCACGGGCCCCCGACUGGCCCGUUUAUAAUAAGGUUUUUGGUUUCUAAUGGUUUUAGACUUUCAGAAUUUCAGUCCCUCCCCCACUCCCACUCCCACUCCCUAGACUGCACUAAGUACCUCGUUCUCCCUAGUCUCUGCCACCCUCAAGCCUCAACUCGUUUCUUGUUGUCCCUUCACCUCUGUUUAUCAUUUUUCGUUCUUGACAAUCACUGAGUCGAUUCGACUUCAAUUGUGUUGACAUCACAGAUUGUUGCAACCACACGGCAUCACCUUACCAUCUUCCUGUAAAUCCCAAGGUAAUUUAUGAAUUAGGGUUGUUGAAUUAUGUGGGUUUCUUUGUGAUUUGGGAAUUUAAGGUUUUUAGUUUGUUCAAUUUCGGAGCUGCUUCAAUAACAAUUUGAAUUUUAGGGUUUCUUAAUUCUUUCUUAUUUAGGAAUUUAGGGUUCUUAAUUCUUUCUAUUCGUUUUGGAAUUGAUGAUUUCUUCUAUAACUUUUCUAUCAAGAGAGAGAGGAAUCUGAGACCAAGAAAAUUCUCAAUUAGGCAACAAACUUGGGCAUUUAAAGAAAUUGUUAUUGUUAAAAGGAAUUAGAUUUAAACUUUCCAGAUUUUCGUUCUUUGAUUCCCAAAUUUGCUGCAGAAUUUGAAUUAAGUUUUUAUGGUAGGAGUUAGGGUUGUUGAAUUAGAUUUAAAAUUCUCAAUUUGCUGCAGAAUUAGAUUUAAAAUAGCAAUUCGAAGAUUUGAUGUAGAUUUUCAUUCUUUGAUUCCAGAUUUUCGUUUGACAAAGCAAUGGAUGAUAAUAAAUUAUUAAUCCGGUUUUGAAAAAAAAAAAUGAAGCAAAUGGACCCGUGGACUCGAACUGGAACCGACCCGUUUCAAACAGUUCGGGUUAGGGCCGGUUCCAAUAAUCAGAAACACUAUACUUGGCCCAUCCCGCCUCGUUUCAUUUUAAAACGGGUCCGGUCCGAUCCCUUCAAAUUUGGGCUCGGGCCGGCCCGUGCCCACCCCUAGGCAAAACCCUAACCAAAUCUUCAAUAUUUCUUCUUUGAGGAUAAUUCUGCACAAAAUUCUCAUAUGGGCCAAAAGAAAUAUUUUCAUAUAAAGUUAUCUCUAUUGUAGGCCUAUUUGAUUGAGCGAUCUAGGAUUAGAGAGAGAGGGGUGCGGCAAGCUUUAGGGAGAAAAGAGAUUGAUUUAAUUUUGAGGUGUGUUUGAUUCACCCCAUUGUGCCUUUAUUUAUAGUAGUAGGAAAGGUAAAACCUUUCCCUUUAGGAUUACAACAUUUAAUAGGUAAUCUAAUCCUAAUAGGAAUAUAAGAUACAUUCCCAUAUUCCCUAGGAUUUACGCAAUCACAUUCCUAUUCUAAAUGACUGCAACACUCCCCCUUGAGUGUGUAAAUACUCAACAAACCAUCGCAUCAGAUCUUCAGCAGAUAAGGUAAAAUAGUUGAUGAAGUCAUCGGCACAACGGGUGAUCGCAAGUCUCAAAUUUACUUUGAAGUAUGCAUUUGUAAAAAACUCACAAAAACCUUGCUAUGGUAAAACCCAAGGGGUGGGGAAAACACAUAGACUAAGGAGAAAAGUAAGAAAAUAUGCAUAAUGUUAAAACACUCGUCAAACUGGACGAAGAUAGUGAACUCAUCAGAGUAUGAUCAUCCCAGGAUGGGUGCCUCAUUAAAACCUCGUUAGGUAGCAAAAACCCAGUGGGAAAAAUGCUCCUAAUUGUAGGAAAAAGAGUACAUUAACAUCAUGUGAGUAUGCUUUUAGAUACUCCCCCUGAGUUAGACAUAACUUCUAAAUAAAAGAACUACAAGCGAUUCAACUCAGAUAAUUUACGCAUACCGAUUCCUUGGACGAGCUUCUGAAAUGUAGACUUGGGCAACGACUUGGUAAAGAGAUCGGCAAGGUUGUCCUGAGAACGGAUUUACUUGACUUCAAUGUUCUGAUGCUAUUGCUGCUGGUGUGAGUAAAAGAACUUUGGCGCUAUGUGCUUGAUGUUGUCUCCUUUGAUAUAUCUCUUCUUCAGCUGCUCGAUACAUGCUGCAUUGUCUUCAAAGAUCAUCGUAGGAAGGUCAACGACUGAUGUAAGACCACUAGUGCUUCGAAUAUGUUCCAUAACUUCUCUCAGCCAAAAGCACUCACGCGAUGCUUCAUGUAGGGCAAGAAUCUCAGCAUGGUUAGAUGAAGUCGCAACUAGCGUUUGCUUGGUAGACCUCCAAGAUAUAACGGUGUCUCCAACAAUAAAGACAUAACCCAUUUGAGAGUGUGCUCUAUGUGGGUCAGACAUAUAUCCAGCAUCUGCGUAACCAACAAGGCGAGAAUCAAUUCGAGGGCCAUAAGGGGCGGCAACACUUGGAGAUUCACAGGUAUAGUACAAGCCCAAAUCCGUAAUACCUUUGAGGUAGCAAAAAAUAUCUUUAACACCAUUCCAGUGCCUGCAUGUGGGCGCAUUAUUGUAUCUAGCCAAUAUAUUCACACCGAAUGAGAUGUCGGGUCUAGUGCACUGAGCCAAGUACAAUAAAGCCCGAAUUGCACUUAGCUAAGGAACUUUGGGUUCCAAAAUCUCUUCCUCAUCCUCCUUUGGAUGGAAGGGAUCUCGUUUUGCAUCUAGAGUCCGAACGACCAUAGGUGUACUCGAAAGCCUUGCUUUAUCCUCAUUAAAACGUCGUAACACCUUUUGGGUGUAGUUCGGUUGAUGUACUAGGAUUCCAUCUGAACAAUGCUCGAUCUCCAGGCUAGACAGUAUUGAGUUUUCCUAAGAUCCUUCAUCUCAAAUUCCGAUUUCAAGUGUGUAGCAAUUUCCUCAAGCUCUGCGGGAGUCCCAAUGAGGUUCAUGUUAUCGACAUAAACUGCAACAAUUGUAAAUCCAAAAUGUGACUUUUUUAUGAACACGCAUGGGCAUAGUUCGUUGUUCACAUAACCCUGACUUGUCAAAUAUUCACUCAAACGGUUAUACUACAUCUGCCCGGAUUGUUUUAAUCCGUAGAGUGACCUCCUCAACCUAAUUGAGAGAGUGUUCUGUGGUCUAGAACUAUUUGAGCCAGUCAAUGGAAGUCCUUCUGGAACUUUCAUAUAAAUUUCCCUAUCUAGAUCCCCAUAGAGAUAUGCGGUUACCACAUCCAUAACAUGCAUAUUCAUCUUUUCAGACAUUACCAAACUGAUAAGGUAACGGAACGUUAUAAUGUCCAUUACGGGGGAAUACGUCUCCUCUUAAUCAAUCCUUGGGCGCUAAGAGAAGCCUUGCACUACAAGGCAUGCUUUGUAUCGCACUAUUUCAUUCUUCUCAUUAUGCUUCCUCACGAAAACCAACUUGUAGCGAACGGGCUUCACGCGUGGUGGUGUAGAAACGAUAGGUCCAAAUACAUUACGUUUCGCGAGCAAAUCGAGUUCGACCUGGAUUGCUUGUUUCCAGUUUGACCAAUCAGUUCUACGUCGGUAUUAAUCGACAGAACGUGGUUCAAUGGCAUCACUAAGCAUGAUUUCAGUAGCUACUGAGUACGAGAAUGCAUCGUCGACAAUCAUCUCAUUCCUAUUCCAAACCUCAUCCAAUAAUAUGUAAUGGACCGAAAUCUCACGAUUCUUGGGAGGCUGGCAUGUUUUAUCUAAAGCAUCACUGUAAUCUAGAAUAACCUCAUGCGUUGGAACGAAUGAGUGAGCGAUGGUCGGAUUCAAACUAGGGUCACUAAUUGGUGCCAUUUUCCUCUUCCGGUGUUGUGAAUCCUUUGAACCAAGAGGUCUGCCACGCUUCAAGGUCGAAGCAGAUGAUUGGCUAGCCGCCAAUGUACCUUGCCGUGUGGAAGGUGCGACCUCCCCACCUUUGGGGACAGUCCAACUUUCCCAGGCGAGUUGUUGACAUACACGGGGUACAUCUAUCCUUGCAGGUGUGUUUGCAGCGAGUAUAUGUGAUCUUAUCACCUUUGCUAGAUCAUUAAAAGCAUCUGGCAUGCUUUGAGCAAUGCUCUGAAGAUCUAUAAUUCGACGUACCUCAAAUUCAGACUGGGCAGUGCGGGGAUCUAAAUAAGAGAUAGUGGGAGCAUACCACGACAACUCACGACAUUCUACGAGAAUGUUAGCAUGUUUAUCUCCCCCUAACAACGGGAAGACUGUCUCAUCAAUGUGACAAUCCGCAAAAUGUGUGGUACAGAGAUCUCCAGUCAAGGGUUCUAAGUAGCGAACAAUUGAUGGUGAAUCAUAACCGACAUAGAUUCUCAUUUUUCUCUGAUGACCUAUUUUGGUAUGUAGCGGUGGCACUAUUGGCACAUAAAUGGUGCACCCAAACACCCAUAAAUGCGAGACGUCAGGCUCGUAUCUAGUGACCAACUGUAACAGUGAAUGUGGUUGGGUAGCAAUGAGCCUCAAGUGGACCAACAUAGCUGCGUGCAAUAUUGCAUAGCCUCAGGCAAAUACCCGCAAUUUGGUUAUCAUAACCAAAGUCCUAACUAUCAAUUGAAGGCACUUUAUGAAAGCUUCUGCCAGGCAGUUUUGGGUGUGAACAUGGGAUACAGGAUGUUCCACAUUUAUCCCUACUGACAUGCAAUAAUCGUUAAAAGUCUGUGACGUAAACUCUCCAGCAUUAUCCAGUCAAAUCGACUUGAUCGGAUAAUCAAGGUGGUGAGCCCUUAGCUUAAUGAUUUGAGCUAGAAGUUUAGCAAACGCAGCGUUGCGUGUGGACAACAAGCAAACAUAUGACCAUUGUGUCGAUGCAUCAACCAACACCAUAAAGUAUCUAAAUGGUCCGCAAGUUGGUUGGAUUGGUCCACAAAUGUCCCCUUGAAUCCCCUGAAGAAAUUUAUGGGGGUCGUGAAUAAUCUUUGUAUUGGAGGGUUGAGUAUUCAACUUCCCUAAAGAACACGCUUUGUAUGGUGGGAGUCUAACAUAGGGAUGUACUUAUGCCUAUGUGAAGAUUUGAGGAUACAGCGCAUCAUGUCACGUCCAGGAUGUCCCAAACGAUCAUGCCAAAGCAACAAAGUGUCCGGGAACUCAGGCAUAAGGCCGGCCACACUGUAGGCUUCUAUGCCGUGAAUGGUUGUGAUGUACAACCCACUCGGCAAGCGUUUCAACUUCUCGUGAAUAUGUUUUUGGCCAUAUGCAUACGAAGCGAUACAAAGAAAUUCAGAACCAUGAUCUUCAGUGGUUUCAAGAUGAUAUUGAUUAUCUCGAAUAUUUCUAAAAAUCAGCAACGUUUUUCUGGAACGUGGAGAAUAGAGUGUCUCCUUAAUGGUCAGAAUUGUACCAUUAGACAACAUGAUACGUGUCUUUCCAUAUCCUUCAAUCAGGUUGGAUGAGCCUGAGAGAGUUGUUAAAGGAAUUUUCUUAGGUAUGAAGUUAGUAAAAUAGUGGUGUUCACGCAAGAUGGUGUGCGCGGUUGCACUAUCUGCCAGACAACUAACUUCCCCACUAGACAUACCUAGAAAUAAAUUGAUUGAAUUGGUCACAUUCAUUCAAUUAAGCAAUUCGAGAAAAUAAUAUCCAUUCAAAUAACAAUCCAUAAUUCAAAACAAACCAAAACCAAACAAAUUAUUCCAAAUACUUAGAAAAAGUGUUCAAAAGUAAACCAUAAACCUAGCCAAAUAGGGGGUAGGGUCGGCCACUCCUAGUGGGUUCGGCCACUAGGGGUAACACCCUAACUACAUGUCUAAUUUAUUCAUCCAUAGGUGAUAACGCCUCUUGGAAAUCCAAUAUCUCCAUUGAUGUAGUUGCAUCUUCCGGAUGAUCCACAUGUGCAAAGUUAGACUCACGACAGGAAUGAUACUUGGCAAUAGCCUCAGAGGAAGCUCGGCAUACGCGUGACCAGUGAUCCCUUGAUCCACAGUGAUAGCACAUGUCCAAUUCAAUAGAAGCAGCUUGAACGGGAGCUUUGCCCUUGUUCUUGAAAUUUGGGACCUUAGAAGCAAGUGGUGGACGCUGCUGGGUCGUAAUUCUUCCCUUAGGUACGGCACUCUGUUGACCUUGGGCUCAUGGUUGGGCUUGCUACCCAUUGCCACUGCCACGACGAUUCUUUUGUCGUUUAUGACUGCUAGAAUAGGUCGCAUGCGCUUCAGGCACGACGUUCGAGCCAGUGAGUCGAGCUUGAUGAUUCUUCAUUAAAACCUGGUUCUGCUUUUCAGCGAGAAGUAAAACAGAGAUCAAAUCCGAAAACUUGGUGAAUUUAUGUGCCCUAUAUUGUUGCUGCAAGAUAAUAUUGGUGGCAUGGAAGGUCGAAUAGGUCUUCUCCAGGAGAUCUGAUUCAGUUAGUUCCACUUUGCAGAAUUUCAACAGAGAACGGAUUCUACAAACUUCAAAGUUGUAUUCAUUCACAGACUUAAAGUCCUGGAAGUGAAAAUGCUGCCAGUCGUGUCUUGCUUCAGGAAAAUAUAUGUAUUUUUUAUGAUCGAAACAGUCGACCAGAGCAAGCCAGAGGGUGCGUGGGUCCUCCUCAGUGAGAUAUUUAGUCUGCAGUGCAUCAUGAAUGUGUCUUCGGAUGAAGAUCAUUGCAGUAGCCUUCUGAGCUUCGUCAAUAGGUUUGUCGGUGAUAGGUGUCUUGAUGGUGACUCUAAUACCCUUUGCAAUAAGAUGGAGUUUCACGUCUUGAACCCAUUUCAGAUAAUUUCUUCCAGAGACUUCUAGAGCGGAAAAAUCAAGCUUGUUUAAGUUCGACAUGUCCCUAGCAUGGAGGGAGAAAACAUGAUGAGUCAUAUGGUAAGCCAUAGACAUAUAUCGUAGAACAUACAGGUUCUUUAGACAUGUAUUGGUUUAAUUUAUGCAUGAAAGCUACGGGUUUCAUGUGGUAUGUUUUGAAUGAAAACUUCAAGUUUCAAAGGCACUAAAUUUGAAACUACAUGUUCAAUUUAGUUUUAUGAACAAUUAGUUCAUAAUGAGAGGUUCCUGCAAGAAACACAGAAUGCAAUAUACUAACUAAGUGUAGUGGAUUUGAGUUGUCUUCGGGAACUCAAGUGUGAGAGCUUCAUUACUACGAAAGUAUGUGAUGGUUCCAAGUAUAAAAAUAAAUUAUUGAAUCGUUAAUGUCCAAAAGUGAUAUUUUGGAUUCAUUAUCAGAUUAAUGUAUUGCAUGUCAUUUUUAAUUAAUUCAAUAAAUCGGGUCAUACGGGGUCAAUUGUAGAAGCAAAAUAAUAUUAACAUAUGGGUUAAAUUAUUGUAGAAUACUAAAAUAAUAGCAUUGGGUCGAAAAAAAUUACCCCAAAAAUACAAUUGGGCUCGGGUUGGGUGCCUAGAGUAAAAAGGCAUGGCCCAAAAACCUUGGGUGUGGGCUACAAGCCACGAGGGUGGGUGAGAAACCCCCAGUCGAAGCUAGGUUUCAUAUAUGGGCCAAAGGGGGGGCACAGUGCAGGUCCAACAAGGCUGGCAUGUUAGUUGUUGCACGGGGAAGCCCAGCCGCAAGGCUGGCGUCAUGCAGUUGAUGCGAGCCAGGGCAACAAAGCCCAGCAACCAAAAAAAAAUAUUUACAGCGUGCAUAUGGGAGGAUAGCCCAAACAAUUAGGCAGGUUGGAUGGCUGCAGGCCAAAGUUAGUGUGCAGAGGUUCAGGGCUGCAGUCCCUACCGAGGUAAAAUCCAGGCCUAAGCCUAAUGGUUAUUUGCACAAUGAUGGUGCGGUGGUGUGCCGCACCAUGUCCUAAUUCCCUUUUUUUUUCAAAUCCUUUAGGGUUUAGGAAAACCCUAAACAUGCUUCUAAUUUAAUUUUAUGCUUUGACUCACAAAUUCCACAUAACAAUUUAAUUGUGCGAUGCAUGAAACAAAUAUAUGAACAUAUACAAUAUAUAUAUAUCGAAAGGAAAAUAUAAACAUAGAGGGGUUCAUGCAUCAUGGGGAAUGUUUUCAUGCUUCGUGGACGUUUAAAAUAUCUUCUUUUAUUUUAAGCGUACCUGAUUAGCAAAAAAUGAAUAAGCCUUUGAAUUUGGUGGAUGAUAGCCUCCUCCAACGAUGCGUCAAUUUCUUAGCUUCUGGCAAGAGCGUGCUGAUAACGUGUUGUAGGCCUAUUUAAUUGAGCGAUCUAGGAUUAAAGAGAGAGAAGAGUGCGGCAAGCUUUAGGGAGAAGAGAUAUUGAUUUAAUUGUAAGGUGUGUUUGAUUCACCCCAUUGUGCCUUUAUUUAUAGUAGUAGGAAGGGUAAAACAUUUCCCUUUAGGAUUACAACAUUUAACAGGUAAUCUAAUCCUAAAAGGAAUAUAAGAUACAUUCCCAGAUUCCCUAGGAUUUACACAAUCACAUUCCUAUUCUAAAUAUGACUACAACAAUCCCGAUAUAUGAAAUUUUUUUGUUAUCACUACAUGAAACUCAACCACGGUCCACGUACACUCCGAUGAGAUGGUAACCUAACAUGUUCGAUCAUUUAGAGCCUUGAGUGUUUGAUAUGGAAUAUAUAGGUUAUAUAAUGAUUCUGGGCCAAGGUUAUAAAAGACGCUAGGUGCUAGUUAGGCGGUGGGUUUGGGCCUAGAGUCCUACUUAAUUGCAUUGAGAUACAUAAAUUGCAAAACAAAAUGACAUAUAAAUUAAAAUAUUAUAACAUAUUGAAGAUAUAGAGAACAAGCAUAUAAUGAGUGUUCAUCCAAGUAUUAACAAGUCUCUUAUAAUUUAAUAAACAAACAUAAAAUCCAAAAAUUAAAGUCAUCAAUUUUCUGUCUAAAUAAAAGUUGAGACUUAGGGGUGCCUAGACGGGCCAGGCGGAUGCCUAAAGAGGUCUAGACGCCAUUUCUUAAUUUUCAAAUGCCUAUGAAUUAUUCGGGACGGUGGCUAGCCGCUUAGCACCUAAACGGGGCCUAGGCGGUGCAAAGCGGGAGUUUUAGAACAAUGCUCUGGGGAGAUUCAGAGAGCAUGUGAGUAGUGUGAAAUCCCAUCCCCGGAUUUCACUGUUUUAAAUUACUUAUUUCAUAUUUUUCAUUCUUAUUCAUAGUUUCAACGCAUUUGUAUUUGUGGCAUACAAAUUUUUCGAUAAGUAAAAUGAUAAAAACACCCUUAAUGAACUAAACGGAAUUUUUACAGACGUAUUUGAAUCUUUCAAGAUUUUCUAGAUUUCUUUACAUAUUUGGAUAGUCCGUGUCAAUACGAAUGCGUGAGCUCAAACAUAUUGUAAUUUGGAGUUAUAACGAAAGAGUUAUUAAUGAAUGAAGUUAAGGGCAAAAUGGUCAUUUGACCAUAAAUCUAGAAGGCUCCAGAUUUUGUUGGAGCAAAGUGAUGGAGCCACGUGUGUGGCUGUGAUGGAAAUAAGAGAAGAGAAAUUAUGUAUGGAACUGCCCAAUCAAGAAGUAGAGAAAUGAGAGAAAUGAGAAUAGGGAAGAACACCGAAUCCUUAACCCGCUUUUAACCCGCACGACCCGGUGCCCAACCCGGACAACCUGGGUGAUUUUUGACUCUGAUUCCGGUAUUUUCCUGGCAAAUUGAUCAUCGCCACCACCUGCACUCUACUCCACGACCUUCCCUCUACCAAUUCCACCCCAAACCCAAAGAGAUUUUGCCACAUUUGGUGGUGCAUAGAACCCUUCGUCGGCGAUCCACCGUUUCUGAAAUGUUGUUUAUCAACCACCACCACCCUCAGGUGUCUCUUGAGCCCAAAGAAAAAACCCCAAACAAGUUUAGGGGUGGCAGAGCUUUGAAUUCAACGGAUCGAGGUUCACCCCUUUUUGGGGUUUCCUACGGUUCUAGGGAUUUUCCUGCUACUUCCCGGCCAAACUGGACUUCAUCCCAGGUAUGAAAAAUGUUUCCCUCAUCGAGUUGUACAUUUCUGCAAAUUUUGGUGAAUUUUAGAGUCGGUCAGAAUUUGUGGUUUCCGUUCGCCGAAAAUCGCCACCCAUGAUGACGCGUACGGUGGCGCGUGGCUAGUGGGUUGACACUGCCUUUUUAAGUUAAAUUUGGAUUGUCACCCAACUUUAAUACAUUAUAGUAUGUAAUAUUUAAGGACAUUACAAACUGACAGAUUGGGAAUCUGACAUACGGAUUUUCCCGAAUUGGAUUUCUAAGUUUGUAAAAUCAAACGUUGACGGCCACUUAAUCUUAGCAAUUGGCGGAGAUCCAACCGAUGGAUCGUAAUGAAAUUUUAGUACGUUGUUCUAGAAGAGUAGUGAGACUCUUGGGAAGUUGCAAAUCAAAAAUUUGAUAGGCAAAUGUUCCGUUUAGAUUUCUAGGGUUAUAAACCCUACUCUCGACCUUGAUCGACAGUUGGCUUUUUAGUCAACUAGCCCGAGUUCUUCUAGCGUGUUGCUGAUCUUAGAGUGUUGUUGAGAUUCCAUAGAGCUUAUUGGUCUCAGCAUGAUGACGUGUCUUCCUCGAUUAAUGUGCACCUCGAUUUAUGUAUUGAUGGUAUCACAUUAUGUUAUGCUUGUUUAUUUUAUGUGAUUUGAUGUGUGUAUUGAACUUGUUGUGGAGUGUGGUUGAUUCGAGAACCCAUUGUCAUGGGGUUUGUUGCUUCAAGACUUGUUUCACAUAUCGUAUCAUUAUUUCUCAUUUCGUUAAGCCAUUCUAAUUGUGUACCUUGUGCUUUGUUCCAUUUCUUGUUUCGUUGAGCUUUUGUAUUUUGAGUACUUGUUCAUGCCUUGUUCUUCGAGCAUCGUUAUAUUCCUUGGACUUCCUCUCGAUUCCAUUGGAUGAUCCAGAAUUGGGUUUCCACUGGGGUUUCGUUGAGUGGUCUAGUUCCCUACUCCGUCUGGAUUCCAUUGAGUGGUCUGGAAUCCCUCGUGAUCCGUGAUUCCGUUGAGUGGUCUGGAAUCGUAUCCAGCUUGAAUUUCAUUGAGUGGUUUGAUAUGCAUUUGUACUCCGCGAUUCCUUUGAGUGGUCUGGAAUUGUAUCCACUCAGAUUCCGUUGAGAGGUCUGGAAUCCCUUCUACUUCGCGAUUCCGUUGAGUGGUCCGGAAUUCCCUUUGGUGUCUUGGUUCCGUUGAGUGGUCUGAAUGUUGAGGGAUUUCGUUGAAUGGUCCGAAAUCACAUCAUUUGACUUGUUGGUUUCUUGAAUUUGAUCAAUUUCAGAGAUGUAGGCUUCGGCCGAACUGUGUCGCUCUAGCCCUGCAUUUUGGUGUAUGGUAUGUGUUAUUGAUUGAUGUGAUUGUGGAAUGAUGUUGGUUGUGAUUGUUGUCAUUAUGAUUAAACUCAUUGACCAAUAUGUACAGGUGGUUCGGUAUGGGAUACCAUACUGAAACUAGUAUCCCGAAUCCCAAAUCAAAAUUUUUCGGGACAGGAAUUUAAAAACCAAUCCCAAACCAAAUUUUCGGAAAUCUCGAAAUAUUUUCUGGAUUUCGGGACAAAUCAGGAAUCCCAAAUUGAAAUAUGAAAUUAUGAAUUGUUGUUCAAAUAUAUAAUUUAAGAACACAUUCAUGAACUAGGAAUGUCAUUUCAUUCACACUACCAUUUAAUCUAAAACUGGCAUGUCUGACUGUUUUUAUCAAAGUCAAAAUUAAAAUUAAUUAAACCAUUUUUGCAAGCCUUCUAAAAUCAUCAGCCAUGGUAGCAGCAAUAAUAAAAUCCAAAUGAAUAUCAAACAGAACAUGAAAAAUAUGCAAGAUGUAGGGCAUUCCAGGUUGUGGAGCAUGAAUUAGAAACUACUAGCAUCAAUUAUAAAAGAAUAAUAUAUAUAAUAUAUAUGUAUAAAUAUAUAUAUAUAUAAUAAUUAAGAUUAUAUAUUUUCGAUUCGGUAUGGGAUUCCCGAAAUAUCGAGAAGCCAAUCCCGAAUCCUGUACCGAAAUUUCGGGAUCGGUUCGAGAUAGCAUCUCUAAAAUUUUGAGAAUUUUGGAUUGGGAAAUUUUUUGUUGGGAUCGGGAUUUUUUUGGUUCGGUUCGGGAUUUUCGGGAAUUUUUUCCACCCCUACCAAUAUGGCUAGAGAUUUAUGUUGCGCUUCAUCGAAUGUUCCUCGUGAUGUUGCAUGCCUGUUGUGUGCAGUGGCGAAGCCAGGAAUUGCCGAUGGGAUGGGCGAACUUAAAAAGUGCAAAGUUAAAAAAAAAAAGGGCAACAACCAAAUUACAAUUGUUGCUGACGAGGUUUCAUGUCAUGAAAACGUGCAUAAUAGAUUAUUGUCAAUAAAAGCAAAUACAUGUAUCUCAAUGUAAACAAUCAUAUUAUCAUUUAACCCUUGAUCCCGACCGUAAUAAAACAUCGAUUGUUGCUAGCUUUUCUUGGCAAUGAUGUGGUCUUUACGUUGACAAUAAUCAUUUUGAAAAGUGUCUAUGAAUUGCUUUGCGAUCAAUAAUCAUAGAAUUCAUAUCAAUAAUCAAUAACCAUAUUAAUGUAUUAUCAUAUGAUUCUAUACUAAUUAAAGAAAAAAUUGUAUUGAAUAAUUAAUUAGGGUUUGAAAUAAUAUAUAAAUUUAGAAAAUAAAAAAUUUACAUAAAAUUGGGAAGGAUGGCGUGACGGGUGGUGAUUGAAAUGGAAGCUAGGAAUUGCGGGAUUUGUUGUGUUUGUUAAAGUGUGAGUGAGAGAUGGGAAAUUGAAAGGGGUGAUGGCUAAUGGGAACCAGGGGUCCACAUAAUAUUUUAUUAUUGUUUUUUAAUGAAGCUGUAAAACUGUGUCGUUUUAGUUAAUAAUUUAUUUUUAUAUAAAAGCAAAUCCUUCAGCAAGCAGGGGCGUUGCACAAGAACAAACGCCAGAAAGCCACCAUACUUUCCAGUUUCCGACCGAACCAAAGAGGCGCUCCCAGGCUUGUUUUCCGGCGAGCGGAGGGGCGACGGCCACCCCUCGCCCCUAUGUAGCUUCGCCACUGGUUGUGUGGUAUUAUGUUGAGACAUAGUGAUUUAUGUGAUGAUUGUUCGAGUGUAGUGAAGGACAAACUACAAAUGGCUUGAUCUCUGUUUAUGGUACGUAGGCAAUCUAACGAUGAGUUUAGAUGCAGCCAUAAAGUAUACGAAAAUUACUACGCAAUUCGAAUCUUGAGUUAUGCUUUGUACAUAUCCCGGAGGCGGGGUAUGUUAAAUAUACGGGUAUUUGGUAAUGUAACGUGUCAAUACAGGAUGUAUGUCGGAAUCGGGGAGUGACAAGUAGAGAGCUUUUGGGAUCAUCUAGAUGUUGUAUUCAGUCCCAAGCCUAUGAAAGUUUAUCUUAUAUUGCCGUCCCCAAGCCCGAAUAAAGAAGGAUGUGGACUGUGUCAAUUAAUCAACAGCCAUAACUCAUUUUUCACGUCGAACUCUUAUGAUCUAGAUGUUAUAGUCUGAUCAUAUUAUUUCCAAAAGUUAUGGGAUUGACUGAUGAUUCCUCCAUUCUAUCUUGAACAACUCUGAUGAAAUUUCUUUCUUUUUUAUUUUGGCCGAUAUUUUAAUUUGAAUUUUAAUUUUUUCAUUAGGAUACUUCAGCCUUUCACUAUCAAGUAUGACUACUAUACCAGAUGAUGCAGAAACAACAUGAAUUAGACAAUAAAAUAAGAAAAUCUUGAAAAUACUUUUAUCUGUAAUAAUACUUUUACGGCCCUCCUAAAAAGAAGAAAUCUGCAGUGAAACCAGUGGUUAUAGGCAUAGAAGAAAAUAUCGAUAAUAUCGGCGAAAUAACAUGCACAUAAAGGGAUUCGAACACCUCCCAUCUAAUUCCUUCAGCGCCUUGACCACUAUACCACAUAUGUUUUUGUGAAAACAUGCUAAACUAUUUAUAUAUAUGGUUUUGUUUUGAAUUCUUUUUGCACGAAACAAAUUUGCACAUAUUCCAAAUUUUUUGUGGUAUUAUAUUUUAAAUUGUGUUAAUUAAUUACUUAGUCAAUGGCAUGUGGUUUUUAAUUUUUCUAUUUUUUAUUUGGUCACUUACAUGUAUGGUUGGAAAAAAUUCCCGAAAAUCCCAAACCAAACCGAAAAAGUCCCAAACCAAAACCAUCCCGAAGUUUGGGAAUCCCAUCCCGAAAAAUACCGAAAUUUUCGAUAUGGGAUUGGUUUCCAAAUCCCAUUUGUUUGGUAAUCCCGAAAUACCGAAGUAUUCGGUUUCCUAUUGACGUUUGGGUUUCGGUUCUUGAAAGCUAUUGCCAUGGUUGCUGACUACUCUUCACAAUACACUUACUCUACACAUAGAGAUGAUGAAGAUAGUGAAAAUUUUGAACCUCAUAGGAACUCUAUAUGGUACUUAGUCACUCAUGUAUCUUACCAUGCAAUGUAUAAAGUGUAAAAUAUUGUACUAAUUCAUUAUAUAUAAAUGAUUAUGGUGUGUUUAAACUUCUUUCAUUAAUUACUACAUAUUUUCUACACUCACAAUGUUUGCCAGCUCGCUAUAUAAUCAACUUAAAUCAGUUAAAUCCAUCAUGCAAUGCAUUUCCUUCCAAUUUUUUGUGAUAAACUAAUAGAUAAUUGACUAAAUAAACAUCCUGCAAAGUUUCAAUAAAAAUUUCCAAGUUUUUCUUACAAUUUCCGUGGUUUCCAUGUAAUUUUUAUCGAUAUCGAUAUUAUCCCGAUAUUUCCAUCGAUAUUUCCGUGUUUUCGGACUACCGAUAUUUCCGAUAUUACCGAUAUUUUCUUCCUUGGUUAUAGGUACACCUCUGUCCACUCAGUUGGCCUGGAACAACUUUCAGUGGAUUCAAAAUGAAAAAAAUUUGAACGGUUCACUAAAAUUCUCAAGUGGUUAGCUAAAGAAUUGGGUACUUUUUUUUGUAACAUGUAUUGAUUUAUGUAGAUAUUGGUGCAAGCUUGGGGGUAUUACUUCUUCUUGCUGCUCUAUGGUGGUUAUACAAGGUAGUGAAGAAAAUAAAUAACAUUAAUUGCCGAGAGAAGUUCUUCAAACAAAACGGUGGCUUAUUGCUCGAAGAACAAUUGAGUUCCGGUGAAGUCAAUGUUGAAAAAAUAAAAUUAUUUGAUGCAAUUGAGCUAGAGAAGGCCACAGAUCAUUUUAAUGUGAACAAAAUACUUGGCCAGGGACGCCAAGGUACCGUUUACAAAGGUGUUGACAGAUGAAAAAAUUGUUGCAGUAAAAAAGUCCAAGGUGGUUGAUGAAGGGAAACUUAGGCCUUUCAUUAACGAGAUUGUCAUUCUUUCACAGCUUAACCACAGGAAUGUGGAUAAGUUAUUCGGGUGUGGUUUGAGGACAAAGGUUCCUCUACUGGUGUAUGAAUUUGUUCCAAUCUGUAACCUUUUCGAGUAUAUCCACAAAGAUAAUGAAGAGUUUCCGCUUACGUGGGAUAUUUUCUACCUGCAUUCAUCAGCUUCCAUUCCCAUUUAUCAUCGCUAUACUAAGUCCACAAACAUACUUUUAGACGACAAGUAUAGAGCAAAAGUAGCUGAUUUUGGAACUUCGAGAUUUUUCCAUUGAUCAAACUCAUGUGACCACACAAGUACAAGGCACUUUCCGAUACUUGGAUCCAGAGUACUUCCAAUCAAGCCAGUUCACAGAAAAGUCCGAUGUUUAUAGCUUCGGAGUUGUCCUAGUUGAGCUCCUGACUAGUAAAAAGCCGAUUUCAUACAAGAUCGGAAGAAGGGAGAAGUCUGGCCACAUACUCCAUUCUUAAAAUUGAAGAAAACCGUCUGUUUGAGUUGAUGUUCAAGUUACGAAGGAGGGAAAUAAAGGACAGGUUGAGGCAAUUGCUUGCCUUGCAAGAAGAUGCUUGGACUUGAAUGGAAAGAGACGCCCCACGAUGAAUGAAGUUGCAAUGGAGCUGGCGGAGAUUCAAAAUCCAGUUGAUCGUUCUAGUGUGCAGCAAAAUUAUGAAGAGGUUGAAUAUGUUGGAAAGGAAGUGACUGGUCCUUGGGAUGAUGUUUCUGCAUCAACAGGAUCAGCUGUCGACAAUAUAUAGUGCUGCUUCAUCAACUGAUGUGCUUCCACUAUUAUCAUCGAAUAACGAUGAACAUGGGCAGCUUUUGAAUUACGUCCAAAGUGUCUGUCGUUCAGAAGUGCUUGCUAAAAGUCCGGAACCUACUUUGGCCCAAAGCUAAAGGACCACCAAUCUGUUUUGAUUGAGAAACCUGGUCCACCCUAGCUUUUAGCAUUUGUGGAAAGCGAGAUGACUUUCACAAAUCCUUUUUAGCCUCUUUCUUAUAUUUGUACGUUAAUUCUGUUUGACUUGGUGAAUUUGGUGGUCAGAAUUAAGAGUAAAUUGUAAUAAUGUUCCAUUUACUUUAAUUAAAUUAGAGCAAUGGUGCCUCAACUAAAAAUUCAUUAACAUUGGUCCCUCAACUUAUCAAAAUGUGUAGCUAUAGUCAUUUUCAUCAAUUUCGUUAAAAUUUUGUCAAAAUAAGUUAUGUUGGAAUAACCAUUUAUAUAAUUAGGGUCCCUCAACUCAUCAAGGUGUGUAAUUAUGGUCCUUUUUGUCAACUAUAUCAAAAAUUUUGUCAAAACGAGUUAUGUUAGAGGGACCAUUGCUACAAUUAGGUUAAAGUUAAGAGACAAUUUCUCUAGUUGAAUUAAAAUUGAGGGGCCAAUGGUAAUGGAUUUUUCGUUGAGGGAUCAUUGCUCCAAUUAAGUUAAAGUUAAGGGACCAUAACUACAAUUUAUUCUAGAAAUAAAGAGGGAUAUGUGAGUUCCUUGUAUGAAAAUCAGUUUCCUUGUGAAUGCCCACAAUUUUUCUCAUCAAGCAAAUUCUUUUAAUUUUUUUCUGUAUUUGUUUAAACUCUAAAGAUGAUGUUUUGUACCUGUUUUUAAUUUUUUUCUGUAUUUGUUUAUUUUUCUGUGGCUGUCCUGCUUAUUUUAUAUCUGUUUCUAUUGAACAAUCUUUGAUUAAUCAGAAUGAAAAUUUUGAAGCCAUUUUAUAAAUGAGGUUUCUUAUACAUAUUUUCCUAAUUUUAUAUUGGAGGCAGAUUUGUUACAGUACUUUUUUACACAAAAUUUGACACACAUUUUGUAGGAUCCACUUCGUAAUGUAUUUCAAUAAUCCAAACCGUUUAUAUUUUAGAACAUCAUUCAUGGAUCAUCCUUGCAAAAAAUUAGACAUCCGAAGCUAUCUCUACAAAAAAUUAGACAUCCGAAGCUAUUAAGACAUUCAUUUGUAGUGAAGAAAAGUGACGAAUACAAUUUUACAAAGAAACACUAAAUUUAAUCCAACAAUCAUAUAAUUUCAGGUCUGGUUGAUUUUGAGUGCACAUGAUAUUUGAAGGAAGACUUAAAAGAUACGGCCUGCAUCAUUGAAAUAUAUUACAGAGUAGAUCAUACAAAAACUUGUGUAAAAAAUUAUGUUAAAAAAGUGAUAUCACGUAUCUGCCCUUUGUGUGUGUGUGUGUGUAAGCAUGAUGUUGGAUUUGUAAAACCCAUUCAAUUUGUAGUUAUAAAUGGAAAAGAAAAGAACAUGGAGGUCCUUCCAAAAACUAGUUGGAUUUGCAAAACCCAUUCAAUUUAAGAAUGGCUUGUGAGACCAUAAUUCAAAUAUAAUUUCUACAAAAAUGCUACGGUCAACAUGGCAUCUAAGAUUUCAAUGUACACAAGAGCUGUGAAGUGAAGGUGUAGUUACGGCCCCCUUUAAACCCCUGAUCACAACUACUAAUUGCCAAACCCUACCUAAUCAGAAAGAAAACGCAGUUAAAAAAAUUGGGUGCUGACCUUACCAUGUACACGUGCUUACUUAACCCACCUUUGGAUAGAAGCAUCUUCACUCCUUUCCUCCAAAAGUUCAUUGUCCAUCGAGCUGCAACACAAAUUCAAUGCAGUUUUCAAAAUAAAUGGAUUUGACUUUAGUAACCCCUUUACAAAGUCAUAUAGUGAAUUGCCCUGUUUCGCAAUAGCUGGAUUGUUUUAGUGGUUGUGUUUUUUCCUUCAAUUUACUGCGAUCUGAUUUUAAAUUAUCCUCGUUUCUUUUAAUGUAGAUAUUUUAAUAUAAAUAAAUAAAAACCUUGGUUCCAAAUAUAACAUUUUUUUUACCAAAAAUACCUUGUUUUAUCGUCAAUAUUGUAUCAAUUUACUAUUAACUCAAUAUCAUAUAUCAAUAUUGUAUUUAUAUACUUCCAGUAUUAGCGAUAAAGUGCAUAUUAGUGCUCGAAAACAAGGCUAAUUUAAAAUUUUAGUUGGUGGUUUUGUAAACUAAAGCCAAUUUCCCACCAAAAAAAAACUUUAAAAAAUUGAAAAAAAAAUACAAGAAAAUUGAAAUGUCCAGUAACCUAAGGACACUUGUGUUUAUUGAACGCUGCCUUCGAAUGUGAAUAUUUGGCUUAGUUUAAUCCAAAAAAUCAAAUAUUUUUAACUUAGGUUUAUGCAUGGUUUGGUGUAACUAAUUGACAAAAAUUAGGUAACUUAUUCGCAACUAAACUUCUCUUGCUAAGAAAACACAUGUAUAAACUGGUAGGCACCAAACAAACAUAUUGAACGGUAGUUCUACCCCAGUUUCUCCUCUCUCCCUUCUAUUUUUCUACAAAAUGUGACAGGACAUAAAUAUACAUAUUCCCACUACUCCUCCCAGGUAAAACACACACUCUCUCUCUCACUGUGUCAUAGCAAGUAGUGGUGGCUCAGCCGUCUGAGGUUACCAUGGGAUCGCAGGAGGAGUACCAACCGCUACUCAUCCGGCUUGAUUCAUACUCCCAGAUACCUAACUUGUCGUCCAGUGCCAUUGAAGAGUUUCUGGAGCACAAGCCCGUGGCGGUUCGAUGGUGGCCUAAACUGGUGGCUUGGGAGUCGAGGCUCCUCUGGAUUUUAUCCGGUUCAUCUAUCGCUGUCUCCAUAUUCAACUACAUGCUCAGCUUUGUGACUCUCAUGUUUUGUGGGCACCUGGGUGCCUUGGAGCUUGCUGGGGCCUCUAUAGCUAGCGUUGGAAUUCAGGGUCUCGCUUAUGGUAUCAUGGUAAGUCCUCUAGUUUAAUGUACUUUAUAAAUAAGGAUAUUAGCACACUCCAGCAUCUAAUAAUCCUGAAAAUGCACUAUGGUAACUAUUAUGUUGCGCAGAUAAUAGUUCUCUGAUUAAUUUAUAUAGCAAAAUUUCAUCAUGUUUUUUCAUACGCUUCAGUAUAGUAUUUGUGUUUUCCCUUCGCGCAUGAAAAACACACAAAGUAUUCGAUUAGGAGAUAUGACAGAAUUUCAUCUCCCUAUUUUUCUUGUGUGGUUGGAUUAACACUUUUUGUGUUCUUAAUUCUUGGUUUGGAAUCACAGUUGGGAAUGGCAAGUGCUGUCCAAACAGUGUGUGGGCAAGCAUAUGGAGCCAAACAACUGCCAGCAAUGGGAAUCAUAUGCCAAAGGGCAAUCAUCCUGCAUUUGGGAGCAGCAGUACUACUCACAUUUGUGUACUGGUGGUCAGGACCAAUCCUCAUAGCCAUCGGCCAAACAGAAGACAUAGCAGAGCAAGGCCAAGUAUUUGCCAGAGGAAUAAUCCCACAGCUCUAUGCAUUUGCCAUAAACUGCCCCCAGCAGAGGUUUCUCCAAGCCCAGAACAUUGUAAACCCUCUAGCUUACAUGUCGUUCGGGGUCUUCCUCGUCCACAUUCUGCUCACUUGGGUGGUCGUUUAUGUGGUGGACUAUGGGCUGAUGGGGGCGGCUCUGACACUCAGCCUCUCUUGGUGGCUUCUUGUCAUCACAUAUGGAAUUUACAUUCUUGUCAGCCCGAUGUGUAAGGAGACUUGGACUGGCUUCUCAUGGAAGGCUUUUAGGGGCAUUUGGCCUUACUUUAAGUUGACUCUUGCCUCCGCUAUCAUGCUUUGGUAAGUAUAAGAUUUUGAGAAAUAUGCAAAAAUAGAACCGCUUACACAUUUUUUCCACUUUUCACUUUACCAUUCACUUAAAAUAUUUUUUGCUUGCAAUUAACUGUUGGGUUUUAUGGUAGUUUGGAGAUAUGGUACAACCAAGGACUAGUGCUGAUAUCAGGGCUUCUCUCCAAUCCUACAAUCUCUCUAGACUCCAUUUCUAUUUGGUACACCUUUUGUUAAAGCAAUCCAUUUUUUAACCUUUUUACUUUUACCCUUCAACUUGAUAAUUUUUGUAACUGCUAUUUAACUCUACAUUUUCUCAUGUGAUACAAUUCCAGCAUGAACUACUUGAACUGGGACAUGCAAUUUAUGUUAGGCCUAUCCGCGGCGGCCAGUGUUCGUGUUAGUAAUGAGCUCGGUGCCGGUCACCCGAAGGUGGCCAAGUUUUCAGUGUUUGUCGUGAACGGGACGAGCAUAUUGAUUAGCAUAGUCUUCAGUGCGAUUAUAUUGAUAUUCCGAGUUGGAUUGAGCAAGCUUUUUACAAGCGACGCUGAAGUUAUCGCGGCAGUAUCUGAUUUAACCUCAUUGCUCGCCAUCUCUGUUUUCUUGAAUGGCAUUCAACCUAUACUCUCAGGUAUUGAAAAAUGAUGGAAGCCGUAGAGAAACAAACUAAGUUUGCAGGCACCAUCAGCAUCAUUUCUAAUUCAUGUUGUGUGGAAUUUUAGGUGUGGCAAUCGGAAGCGGAUGGCAAGCUGUUGUGGCGUAUGUUAACCUGACUUGUUACUAUAUUAUCGGUCUUCCGAUUGGAUGUGUUCUAGGCUUCAAAACUAGCAUGGGAGUUGCAGUAAGUUGAAUCUCAUCUCACUUUUGCCGGUAAAGUGAUUGCUUUGCUUUGUGAGUGAUGGAAAAUUAUGAACUUUUGGUAUUUUUCAGGGUAUUUGGUGGGGAAUGAUCAUUGGAGUUUUUCUACAAACAGUAACUUUAAUUGUUCUCACUGCAAGAACAAACUGGAAUUCUGAGGUAAUUUAAAUUUUAAAUUUCAAAUUUUGUGGGAAAUAUAAUUAUUAAAUGAAUAUAUAUAGACAUGAACUGCAUUUGACCAAAACUUCUCACCAUUGAUCAUGCUUUUGUAGGUUGUAAAAGCAGCUGAACGAUUGAAGAAAUCUGCAAGUGCUGAAAGAUUAGACUUGUUGACCGAUAUAUAAGGCUGCCGUGAAGGUUUCUGAACUUCAUUUCACCUGCGAUUCCUGUUCAAAAUCCUUUGAUUCGACAGUGCAUUACGGUUCAACGAGAACUAGCAUAGAUGUUUGUUACGUUUCUUUCUUACCCUGCACACUACUAAGCAGAUUAUUACCAAUUUUGAUGAUUUAAGGGAAAGAAAAAAGUCCUACUUGUUUGGAGCAGUAAAAAUUUCUACCAGGCAUAAUUUCAGUAGAAGCUGCACUACUCGAAUCACAUUGUGCUUGUAGUUAAACUGCUACAACAUCAAACGGUUCCAUUCUGUUCUCCAUCCGUCUCACCCCGAAUGGUAAAACGAAGGGUGGCCAGAAUGCUGAGCCAAUACAGUUCACAAGCGGCAAAACGUACUGGCUUAAGCUGGUGAUCAUCGUCAAGAUUGUUUGAUUUGGUUUGAUACCAGAUGCCUGCAUUUCCUCAUAUUUCUCCAUCAUCUUCUCGAUAUUGUUUGUCUUAGCCUUUGAUCCAUGUCAGAUGCAUUUACAUAUGCGGAUAGCAUAGUCGCAUAGGAGCAACGAUCAGGGUUAAACCUGAAGCAAAAACAAACAAAAACAGGGCUAUUUCUACCCUCCUACAAAAGCAUGUCUUUAAUUAUCUGUCGAAGGAGCACACUGUUUUUGCCUUGCGAUACUCGCAUUACGACAGACAACCACCUAAUGAAUUAUGGUUCUAUCAUGUUGGAAAAUUUCAAAAACAAAAGAGGAAAACGAAAAAAUCCGACCAAUCGGCGAUAUCGAGCGACCGAUAGAUGAAGGCAGAAUAUCGUGAUUAGAACUUCUAGCAUGGGCAACCAGUCGAUCGGCUGGGCCAAAAGCACGAGUAGCACUCUUUGCCGUGGUCAUACCGGUCGCUCGACUUCGCACGAGUGCCCAGUUCUUUUCUAUUCGCAUCUAAGCAUUGGUAUUCCGUAUAUAAAAAGAAAUUGGCCAACGGACUAGUUUAAAAUUUAAAGGACAACUUUUGAAAAAAUAACAAGAGGCGCCAUCAAUUGGAAUGUGCCUCAUUAAUCUAAUGAGGCGCCUAGUGAAAUUGUUGUCCAUACGUCCUUAUUUUAUUGGCACGUGACGCCACGUGACAAUACAUUUGUGCUACGUAAUUUCAACACUGGUAUGGCUAUCCGACCGGUCACAAUCAAUUUCAAUUUAUAAUGGAACACUGCCUUCGAAUGCGGAUACUUGACUAUAUUUGACUUGGGUUUAUGGAUGGUUUAGUGUAAUUAUGAAAAAAAAACAGGUUGCUGCAGCUAAACUUCUCUUGCUAAUGUCACGCGUUUAUACACUGGUGGUCACCUAACAUUUUUUAAUGGUGGUUAUACCUUACAGUUUUCCUCUUUCAAGACCAUCAAAUAGUGGUGGCUCAGCUGGUGGCUCAGCCGGCUGAGCCACCACGGUCAGCGAGAAUUAGACAUUUUGAUUAGAAGCUAAUCAGAUUGUUACAAAGUUUGAUGAUUUAAAGGAAAGAAGAGAAUCCUACUUGCUUCGCAGAAUGGAGUAGUAAAAAUUUGUACCAGACAUUUUGUGUAGAAGCUGCAAUACUUGAAUCACAAAAAUUGUGCUUGUGGUUAUACACAUUAAUUAGGCUGCUACAAGAUCGAACGGUUACAUUUUGUUCUCCGUCCAUCUCAAAGAGCAAAAUGAUCAAGGGUGGCCGGAAUACAGAGCCAAUAUAGUUCACAGGCGGCAAAAUGUACUCGCUUUAGCUGGUCUGAAACGAUACCGCUCCCACGUAGUAAUUCUUAACUUAUAUUCUCGACCAACCAUCAAGCCUGAGUAACGUGACUAUAUCACAAAUUAGGAUAUCCCAACUUUACAAAUCUGCAACUGCAAGUAAGCCCUCAAGGUUUUUCUCGUUAACACCGUUGAGAUAAACCAGUUCAUGUUUUUGCUCAGCAUUUGAUGAAGUGACCAGUGAAGGACCAUCUAAUUCAUCAUCAUACUUUUCAUCCUCAUCCUCAUCCUCAUCCUCGUCCUCAUCCUCACUAUCAUUCUCAUCGGUAGGCACCGGAUACUUACCAGAUCCUUGUUCAUUGCUACUCUGAUCCAGAUUUCCUACAAGUUGGUUAGCCACCUUCUGUUCCUCUGCUGUUUUUGCCAAAGACAAAAGGAUAUUCUUUGCUUUCUGAUCAGGCGGAAGCCUACAGGAUUCCAUUUCCUGGUACCAAACAACAGCACUGCCAAAAUCUCUGUUUUUUCCAUAUGCAUCCAUGAUUGUUGUCAAGAUUGUUUGAUUUGGUUUGAUACCAGAUGCCUGCAUUUCCUCAUAUUUCUCCAUCAUCUUCUCGAUAUUACUUGUCUUAGCAUACCCUUUGAUUAAUGUCCCAUAAGUGACGACAUUGGGUUUAAAUGCAUCUUGUUUUAUUCUUAUGAAGAAUUUCUCAGCACCCUCCAUGUCAGAUGCAUUUACAUAUGCUGACAGCAUCGUCGUAUAAGAGCACAGAUCAGGAUUAAACCUGAAGCAAAAACAGACAAAAAAAGAGGGAUCACUAUCCAGAUCAUAGAGUGUAAACUUUUAGGGAUAGGGCUAUUUCUGCACUCCUACAAAAGCAUGCCUUUGAUUAUCUGUCGAUAGACCACACUGUUGUUUUAGACAUACGAUACUUGACAUUAUGACUGAAAACAGCUUAAUAAAUUUGUGGUUCUAACAAACAGAUAGUAGAACCAUUAGGUGCAUUCAAUUACACAGGUAUUUCACUCCAGCAAAUAUGUGUGAAGAUAAUAGGUGAAGGGAGAGAAGUAAUGAAAGGACUGAUGGAUGCCAAUUGAAUCCAAUGGUAAGGAAUGGACUGAUGGGUGCCAAUUGAAUCCAAUCUAAUGUUGACUGGUUUGUAGAAUUCACAAUCUGAUCUAAUAAUGAUCAGUUUGUGGAAAUGCGAGUCAGUUGUUAUGCAUGCUCGGAUACAUAAACAGAACAAAUUCACCAUAAAACAAAAUUUUAAGCAAACGGGAUGGACACAGGCAACACGUCAUAUAUACAUGAAAAAUCCUGCUUGCAAAUGAUAUUUAAAUAUCUUAUCAAGUAUGAAAUACUGACAUCAUCCAAGUUCCCCUGUUAACACGUAAACAUCAGUUAACUAUAACUUCCAAGUCCCAGACUUCUAGGUCCUAGAAUCUAGGAUAUGUGAACCUAACAACUAACAGGUCUAACCUAAUAUGUCAACGUAACCACUUAUUUGUAAAUUCAUUCUGCUCAUGAUAGAGCUAGACAAGAAAGAGACACUACGUAAAUAUUUUAUAGUUGAAACCUUUUCGUAUACAGUUUUGGUUAUUAGGUACUAUCCCACAAAGAGUGUGCUAGGUAUUCAUUUAUAGCAACUAAUUAGCACAACAACAAUCCUUUGGGAACCAAAACAAGAAUAUAAGGUUUAGCAAGUGCAACUCAUCUUCAACUAUAGCAUAAUCAACAUAAAGGUACUGAGAAAUAUACCUGUCCCUUCUCAUGCUUUUAAAAACUGUUCGAGCUUGGUCCACCAUUCCUGAUACUGCAAAUGCGUCAAGCAAAAUGUUAUAAGCUUUGCGGGUUGGUCUGCAAAAGAAAGAGAAUGGUGGCGAUUAUAGGUUUCAUCAAUGGUGAGGAAUCAAUGUCAAAAGUUGAAAAUCCAUUUUUAAGUUUCAAACACUUCAGCUCCCUGUAUCACAAGAAAUAGUAGCAUUAACCCUGUACCUGACACCAGCAUCAAGCAUCUCCUCAAAAACAGCUAAGGCUUCUUCCUCUCUUCUAGCUUUCCCAUAAGCACUAAUGAGUAAGGCAUAACUCACUACAUCGGGUCGGAGACCAGCUCUUUGCAUCUGCCAUUAGAAGUUUCCUUUAAUUUCUGAUGCAUAUAUUAAGGUCACGGAACUUUAAGUGGGUAGUUUGUACCAAUUUCAACAAAACGAAGUAACGUGAUAAGCAUGAGAAAGGGAAAAAUACAGGACUUUUAAGUCUGCUUUGAUCAAUAAAUUUUGUCAAAUCUCUUUCAGAAUUAUACAGAACAUUGAUAAGUAACUUUUAUGUGUGAUUGGGAACCACGUAACAUUAUUGUUAAAUCUGGGUGAUGAAAAACGCAUCGGUUUUUCAUUAAGGUAACUAUUUUUUUAAAUUAAACAAGAUAUCAUUGCUGCAAGACCGGACAUUUUCUAUUUCGAUCAUAGAUCAACCAAUGAUGCUUAAAAAACAGACUAAGGAAACUAUUUUUCUUUCUUCAAAACAAACCAGGAAAAUAUUGCUGUAACCUUAUUUUAUAAUUCUAAAGCAUACUCUAAUAGGAAGGUUUAGCAUGCUCUACCAAGCUGUAUGACUAAUUAUUAAGAUAUUUUUCCCAAAAUUUACCUGGUUAUACAUCUUGGAGACUUCCUUGUAAUUAUUUUCAAAAGACAUCAAGCUAUUAUAAGUAACCGUCGAUUGUGGAACCCCUCUCUCAGACAUCACUGAGAACAUCUUCCGAGCUUUAUCAUAGCUCCCAGCCUUCUUAUACAUAUAAAUCAUCAUGUGGAACAUCUUUUGGUCUGGCUUUAAAGGUGAUUUUUCCUCAUUUAAAAGAGUCUCAAAUAUUUCUUCAGCUUCCUUGAACUUACAUCCCUGUAUUUCAAGGUACCAUGUGAGGCAGGUAGAAAGACUCCAAUGAAAGCAUGCAUAUUGCUCAAAUGGCAGCUAUAUCAUAAAUAUUGAAGAUGCCAGCAUCAUCAAAAUGUUGUCAGCACUAGGCUGAAAAUUUAGAAUUAAGAUUUAAUCGAUGUUUUUAGGGACACUGACAAGUUUGGCUAAAGAAGGUUAUUACCUCAACAAAUAUCUUUAGUAUUAUUUGAUAUGUCACAGCAGACGGUUCAGGGCCAGAAGACUGCAUCCUUCUAAAUAUUGCUUCAGCAUUGUUAUAUCGGCCUCCUUUUCCAUAUGCUUCCAUAAGAGCAGUAUGAGAUAUUACACUUGGUGGAUAGCCUUUCUCAUUCAUCAAACUUAAAAGCUUCUCAGCCCUCGUGUAGUGCCCUUGCUUUCCAUAAGCUGUUAUAAGCAUCAGGAAAUCCAUUUUGCUGAAGUCCCACCAGUUCUGAGUCUGAAGCCAUUCGAGAAUCUAGAAGACAAAGAACAUAAGCAAACAAGUGAUUUAAUCAUCAAAUAAAAUCAAGUACUUAAAGAAAUACGCUCAGCAACCGAAUAAUUGCACAACAAAAAAGAGCAUCUUUACAUACCUGGCUGACUAGGUUCCAUUUUUUCAGUUGCUUAAAUCUAACCAAAGUUCCAAGGACAACAUCCUUGGGAAUAGUCUUGUCCUUGAGCUUUUCACUUUUGAGCACAGAAACUGCAGAACCUGUCUCCUCAAUUUCAUUCAUAAGUCUCCUCCAGUUCUUCUGCUCGGCUUCAUCAGCAGCAUCUUUGAAAACUUCUACCUUCUUCCUUUUCUGCAAGAAUUUUCUUGGUGCCAGCAUGCCCAUACAAACAACCCCCACUCUUCCACGCACCCUGACAUUGGAACCUAUAGAAUUUGUGCAUUCUUUCAAUCUACUGAAGACACAAAUUCACACAGUUAUUACUGGAUAUCACAAUGAACACAUAAAUCAUCGAAGAGCUCUCGGACUAGUAAGUUCUAUGAAAAACAUGAUCCUCCCCCGUUAAUGGCAAUCAGAAUGUACAAAGUCGAUAUACAUCCACUUGCGCAAAUAAGCCAAAGGCCACAGCGCAAAGAAUAAACUACUUAACACUGCAAUUAGAAAGAUAUAAAAUAAUGUAAAUGUACUCCUACAUCUAUUGUAUAUGCUUGCACUUCUUCGACUUUGAGUAUAAUAGCAACCCAAUUUCACUCAAUGAGUUUAUGACUCCCUACUUUGAUUCCAAAGACAUAAAGAACCAGCAAAUUCACCUUCAACCCAAGAAAUGCAGCAGCGCUAAGACAAAUGCAAUCAUGCAAGACGGGAAAAGUGUAACAGCAACAAAAAACAUACUUUAUAUCAAUCUUUCAGAAUUUUGAAUCAUAAUUGAAACUUUAGUUAACCACAGUUCCCUGUUUGGCUGCCUUCAUAAUUUCAUAGCUAAAGCAUGCAACUUUCUAAGUAAAACAACAACCCAGAACCCCAAAUUCUCCAUGCUAUCCCCCUAAUUACACAAGAAACCAAACAGGACACUAAAAAUUCAAACUACAACCCGAAAAGAAACCCAAAUGCUCAAACGUCAGAUGGGUUUCUGAGGGUUUUGCAGGGGUUUAACAAAAGGGGGUGAAGGAAAAACAAACAAACCUCCAAUUAUCCAAAGGAGCUGAUGAAAUAAAGGGCUUUAAGAAAAGGGUUUGAGGCAUUUCUCCUCUGGAUGUCUCUCAGAAGUAAUUGAACCAAAGCUGAGUGUCAAUGAAGUUGAAGGGGAUUUCUGAAGAAGGUGUGGGAGCAGAAGAUUGUCAUAUUUUUUUGGCAAAAAUCUUAUCUUUUUAGAGCGGGACUGACUGGUAAUACUGAGAAAACCUGAAAGUUGUGGACAUACACUCACAAACAAUUUUAGGCCUCGGACCUCAAGGCUCAAGACCUGUUGGGCUUUGGGUUCUCCGUUUGUUAUAAACAUGGUCUAAAAUAUCCAUAAUAUUUUGAUAUUUUCAUCAAAAUUUUCGUGUUUUUUAACUAUCGAUAUUUUUUUGGACUACCAAUAUUUCUAAUAUCAUCGAUAUUUUAGACCUUGCUAAGUCACUCAUGUAUCUUACUAUGCAAUGUAUAGAGUGUAAAAUAUUGUACUAAUUCAUUAUAUAUAAAUUAUUAUGGUGUAUUUUAUUAAUUACUACAUAUUUUCUACACUCACAAUGUUUGCCAGCUCGCUAUAUAAUCAACUUAAAUCAGUUAUAUCUAUCAUGCAAUGCAUUUCCUUCUAAUUUUUUGUGAUAAACUAAUAGAUAAUUGACUAAAUAAACAUCAUACAAAGUUUCAAUAAAAAUUUCCAAGUUUUUCUUAUAAUUUCCGUGGUUUUUAUUCAAUUUUUAUCGAUAUCGAUAAUAUCCCGAUAUUUCCAUCGAAAUUUCCUUGUUUUUGAACUACCGAUAUUUCCGAUAUCAUCGAUAUUUAAUACCUUGGUUAUAAACCAUGAUUCUCUCCCGCCCGUCAUUUUUUAUAAUUGGACGGUCGAGAUUUAAAUAAAAAUUAAUAUUUUUUUGUACUUGUAAACAAAAAAUUAUUGUUUGACUUGUAUGAAUAACGAAUUCAAUAUCGUUUAAUAACGAGUUCAAUGUCGUUUAUAAGUGUUUGGCCACAAGCAUAUUCUUUAAAAAGUAAUUUAUCGAUUUUCCUCCUAACUUAUACCCCACUACCCAUAUCCCCCUUGCCCUUUAUUUUGGUCAAUAUAUUCUUGAGCUAUUAUAAAUAGUCAAUAUCCUUCACUAGUACAUCUCAUCUAACUUUUUGUUAAAAGUUUAUCUCAUGUUGAUCAUUAAUGUUAUUUAAAUUACACAAAAAGAAAUCAAUAGUGGGAUACAAGUUUACAAAGAAAUCGAAUAAAUAAUUUUAUUAAAAUCACAUCAAGAAUUUUAGUUACAAGGACUUCAAACUUUUUUGUCAAUUUUUUGGUUAUUUGAAAACGAUCUUAGCUAUUUUCUAUACAGACAAUAUAUUAUGCUUUUAGUUAUUUUUAAACAUUUUAACCUAUUUUAAAGACAAUUUAAACAUAGGUGAAAGAUUUUAGGAUUCCGCUACACUCGUCAUUCAAGCCGCCAUAGGUUAGCCAUAAUAUCACACAAUGCCUAAAAUUACAGUUCUAAAGACUGGUUUGGUAUUGCUGUGCUUUGAAAAAAAGUUGUUGUAAGAAUAAGCGGUUGUGCUGUGAGAAUAAGUGGCUGUGAAAUAAAUCAGCAGAGUGUUUGGUAAACUUUUUUGUAAAAGUGCUUUUGGAAAAAAAAAAAAGCAGUCUUAUAGUGGGUCUUUUCAUUAAAGGAGCACUGUAGCUCCGUGUGCUUUGAAAAAAAGCCAAUUUUCCAAAGCUACAAAUAGCAGUUUCAGCUUUUUCCUUUGAUUUCAACUUAUUCUCACAGCAGCUUCCAAAAUAAGCCCUUUUUUUUUCAAUUUACCAAACACCUAAAACCCGCACAGCUUUUUUUCAUGUGUGCUUUUUUUUUAAGCACCUCACUCCCAAACCACCCCUAAGUAAGCACAGUCAUCCUAAUCCCAUUCAAUUCCCCAUUUCCCAAAUACCCUUCGUAUAAAAAGAAAAAUAAAACUUAGUUUGAAUCAAUGCCCUAUAAUACUAGUGCCCGCUCAUAACCAUGGACGGAGCCAAUGAAGGCUCACUGGGAGCAGAUGCUCCCACUCAAGUAAUUUGUUUGUUUAGUUGCAAACUACAAUUAUAUAAUAUACACGGGUUAUCUUUGAAGAAAAUAUAUGUAUCUAAUAUCCAACAUACAUUCAUUCUACUUAUACUUCAUAUCAAAUAUUAUAUGAGCAAUAGUGCUCUUGUUCUGUCAUUCAAACCGAAAAAACCCUCUCUCGCCUAUUAUGUACUUAUAUUUUUCUCAUCACUUUGCCACUUUCCACUACUAUAUUGAAAUUUUUGUAACAUUGGAAUUGUGAUACAUCAUCAUUUGAAACCAUCCUUAAUAUCAUAUUGCGUAUAACCAGUGAAGAAAAUAUCGAUAAUAUCGGCGAAAUAUCGCCGAUAUUAUCGUUUUUUUUGGACCCCGAUAUUUUAUUAACUAUCCAACUUGUUUUCGGCAGAAUAUCGCGAUAUUAUCGAUAAUAUCGAUAAUAUCGCGAUAUUUUCGAAACUAUCGCGAUAUUUGGUAUGGACUCAUCGGAGAACACAGCCGGAGCAAAUAAUCCGAACCCCUAAAUCCCCAAAUUCUAAUUCAAAGCAAAUGAACUGAAUCUACAAUACAGGAAUCCCUAAAAUCGAUUUCAGUACAAAAAUCAACAUGCAGAAAAAUCGCAAUCUGUACAAAAAUUGUAAUUUACAAGCCGAGAAGAACGCCGGAGCAAAUUAACCGAAUCCCUAAAUCCCCAAAUUCGAAUUCAAAGCAAAUGAACUGAAUCCCUAAUUCCUAAAUCCCUAAAAUCAAUUUCAGUACAAAAAUCAAGCAACAUGCAGAAAAAUCGCAAUCUGUACAAAAAUAGAAACCCUAAUUCCUAAAUCCCUAAAAUCGAUUUCAGUACAACAAAGGUGCAACAUGCAGAAAAAUUGAAAUCUGUACAAAAAUUUAAAGUAAAAGCCGAGAAGAAGAGAAGUAGGAGCCUGGGAACAUCGUCUUCCUCACGAAUCCAAGAAGGCUGGGACAACGUCGUGCUCCUCAGUGGUGUCGACGGCUGGGACUACGAUGAUUUUCGGUCGAUCUCCAUGGAUCAAGGUGGUUUAGAAGGCGGUUAUCGAGUGGUGUCGACGGCUGGGUUUAGGGCGGGUGAGAUGGGAGGAGCAGAGGGAGACACGGAGACACGGACGAGGAGGAUUGAGAGAUGGAUCGAGAUUCGAGAGAUGAUGUCUGUGUGUGUGUGUGGAAGAACUGGUGAAGGGGGAAGGGAGGGAGAAGACUGAGAAGUUCUCAGUGAGAACGAAGGCUCAGACCUCAGAGGGAGAGAAGAGAGAAGAGAGAGAUUGAGAGGAUUCGAGAAUAUGGUAGUGGGAAAUGAAUGAUCGAGAGAGAGACUGAGCUCCGUGUGUGGUGUACGUGUGUGGUGUGCGUGUGUGGUGUGGUGUGGGGGGUCUCGAAGUGUGUGUGUGGUGGAGUGUGAGUUCUUCACUCUUUUUGACUGUCUGAGUGGUGGCGUGUAAGAAAAAAAAAGCAUCCAAUGCUCCAAAUUAUUCAAAACCAAAUCAUUCCAAACCUAUGUCUAGCUCUCUGAUCCAAUGAUCCAAAUAACUUUUUGCAAUUUCAGAACAUGGACAACAAAUAAUACUGCUUUCAUAAUGAAAAAUUUGAACCUCAUAGGAACUCUAUGUGGUACUAAAGUGUAAAAUAUUGUACUAAUUCAUUAUAUAUAAAUGAUUAUGGUGUGUUUAGACUUCUUUCAUUAAUUACUACAUAUUUUCUACACUCACAAUAUUUGUCAGAUCGCUAUAAUCAACUUGAUAAUGUUAAAUCCAUCAUGCAAUGCAUUUCCUUCCAAUUUUUUGUGAUAAACUAAUAGAUAAUUGACUAAAUAAACAUCCUACAAAGUUUCAAUAAAAAUUUCCAAGUUUUUCUUACAAUUUCCGUCGUUUCCAUGUAAUUUUUAUCGAUAUCGAUAUUUUACCGAUAUUUCCGUCGAUAUUUCCGUGUUUUCGGACUACCGAUAUUUCCGAUAUUACCGAUAUUUUCUUCCUUGCGUAUAUAACCAUACUAUAAUAAGGUUUUCUUAGUUGUUUUCGGUUGCUCCCACUAGAAGAAAUUUCUGUCAUCCUCCCCGAUCAUAACUUGGAUUUUUUUAAUAUAUUCGAUAGUAUUAACAACACGAGUAGGAGAGUGAGCUAAACUUUUCAUUGGAUUAGCUAUAAUAAUUUUAUUCAAAUUUACAUUUGACGAAAAUCAAAUAAAAAAAAUACCGAUACAUCGUAAUAACAAGUGGUAGUAAAAUUUGAUAAAAGAUUCUAGGGAACCAUCCAUUUUUAACACUGUUCAUUGUUUUCCAUAAAAACCAAUUUUAAACUUGAGAUUUACCCCCAAGAAUGAAAUAAAAUAAUAAAGACAGAAGGGGAAGGUGGAGAAGAAGAAAAGAAGAACGUUUAUUUUUAUGUCGCAGCCGCAGAUAACCCCAUUAAAUGCAUAAUACUUUAACAUUCUCUCAGAUCACACACGCAUCCUCUCCGCCUCACAAACGCCCUGAAUUUUCUCACUUACCAAACACACCGCUUCCGCUGAUUCUCCCCCACUGGUCGCGUUCCGUCGCGGGAAUUCGAUAUUCAGCUGCGUCGUUUUCAGCGAGCCGUGAUCUGAAUCUGGUACGACAGGGAAGGUGAGCAAUUAUUAGGAACUGGGGAUUUUGAAAGGUGUUUGGUUGGUGAGAAAAUUGACAGAGGAAACGAAAUAAAAUGGAAUGGCAGUGUGAUGAAAUUGUGAAAGGUUGUGUUUUUCAGAUGGGGUUCUUUUGGUAUUUCGAAAUGGCGGUGCCAACUAAAUGGAUAUUGACAGAAAAUGUUGCUUUUUGGGCCCUGGAUUAUGAAAGCUUGUAAAUUUAUGAUUUUUGAUAACUUUUCGUCUCAAAUUAUUACAUUUUCUUAGCAACCAAAUGAUAAUUUGACUUCUUUCUUUCACCUUAAUUGGAUUGCAUUGGAUCUGUAGAUUGGUAAUUUUCCUUUGGCAUUGUUCGUUACGUAAAACUGUAGUAGAUUAUAUAGAUAUUAGUAAUGUAGUGCUUAACCAUCUGUUUCUCUGCUGAGGAAUUUUGGGAAAUGGAAUAGCUUCUAGUCAUAUGCAUUUGGGCUUAGCUGAGAUGAAAUGUGUUCCAGGUUAGAUAGGGAAAACCUAAGAUCAGUUUUUUCUUCGGCUUCCAAUACCCUCCCCUCAAAGUUUUGGUAUAAUUUUCAGUUUAACUAGAACAAUUUCCCCCACAUUUUCCUGCUAUCUUUUGUGUUUUUGCUUCCUGGGAUGCAAUGCUAACUUGGUCGAGUGGCGUGAAGGUUGUAAUGCAUUGUAAGGUUUUGUUUCAAUUAAGUGAAAGCUUACAGUUUACAGCUUGUGACAUUUUUGCUAUGCAAGUUAAUGUAGAUGUACAUAUGGAAUUAGUACACAUGCACAGAAUGUGUGAGGGAAGCUGGAUGUUUUUACACAAAUUAUGUUUUAUACUUCAAUUGAUUUUCUUGUUUGACUUUAUAAGAACCGCGGCAUUUGUAUGUUUGUCAGCUAAGUGUUGAAUGGAUCAGAGACCGGGACAAAGGUGAAAUUUGUGAACAAAGGGCGAGGGAGCAGAUAGUUGUGAACCAAUCUAUGGAGUCUGGAGAGUAUGAGGAAGGCAUGGAGGUUGAAUUCUCUGCAAAUGGGAAUUCCAUGAAAGCAACAGAGGUUCAGGCCAAGCUUGAUGAAGGAAAUAUUCAGGAGGCAGAGUCUUCAUUACGAGAAGGGCUAUCACUCAAUUUCGAGGUUAGUUUAUGCCAUCAUCGAUAGGUGUCAAAAAGAAACCAUCUUUUCCAUAAGUUUAUCUCUUUCUGUACGACUAUUAGCACCAAUCAGAGUAGUGCUUUGAUGAUUGAUUAUGACUUAUCCAAGAUGAAAAACACUCAUUUCUGAUAAUCUACAGGAAGCAAGAGCCCUUCUUGGAAAGCUGGAGUAUCAAAGAGGUAACCUAGAAGGUGCACUUCGUGUGUUUGAUGGCAUUGAUCUUCAAGCUGCCAUAGAGCGAUUGCAACCUAAUCUUGCUGAGAAAACACCUUCUAAGAAGGGCCGAUCUCGUUCUGACUCACAGCAUACAGUCCCACAGCAUGCUGCUACUCUCGUUCUUGAUGCCAUAUACUUAAAAGCCAAGUCUCUACAAAAGCUUGGGAGAUUAAAAGGUUUGGUAUUGUUCCAGUAAUUUAUGUGACGGUUUUCCAUUAUCUUUUACCUUUUUAAGUUUGAAUUCAAGUAAAUUGGAAUCUUGUUUUAUGUGUUUGCAGAAGCUGCUAAUGAAUGCAACAAUGUUCUUGAUGCCGUGGAAAAAAUAUUCCAUCAGGGCAUACCUGAUGCACAAGUAGAUGGCAGAUUACAAGAGACAGUCAGCCAAUCUGUGGAGCUUCUUCCUGAGCUUUGGAAGCAAGCUGGCUACCCUCAAGAAGCAAUAUCUGCUUAUAGACGUGCCCUACUUAGUCAAUGGAACCUUGACAACGACUGUUGUGCAAGAAUUCAGAAAGGGUUUGCUGUGUUUUUGCUGUACAGUGGAGUAGAGGCUGGUCCACCCAGUUUAGGUGCUCAGGUUGAAGGUUCAUAUGUCCCUAAAAAUAAUCUGGAGGAGGCUAUUCUGCUUUUGAUGAUCCUUUUGAGAAAAUUAUCCCUAGGUAAAACCAAAUGGGAUUCAUCAUUGAUGGAACAUCUAACGUUUGCUUUAUCUUUAUGCAACCAAACUUUUGUUUUAGCCAAGCAACUUGAAGAAAUCAUGCCUGGAGUAUAUCACCGUGUUGAUCGUUGGAAUUCUUUAGCCCUUUGUUAUUGUGGAGCAGGACAGAACCAAGAGGCUUUGAACCUAUUAAGGAAGUCUUUGCACAAACAUGAACGACCAGAGGAACUGAUGGCAUUGUUAUUGGCCGCCAAAAUCUGCAGUGAGGAUUCCUAUGUUGCAGCUGAGGGAGUGGGAUAUGCACAAAGGGCUAUUAGCAAUGCUCAGGGGUUGGAUGAACAUUUAAAGGGUGUAGGACUUCGCUUGUUGGGUCUUUGUUUGGGGAAGCAAGCAAAAGUUUCUUCCUCUGACUUUGAGAGGUCACGUCUUCAGUCUGAAGCACUGAAAUCACUAAAUGAGGCCAUUAAUUUGGAGCCGAACAAUUCAGAUUUGGCUUUCGAGUUGGGUGUUCACUACGCUGAGCACCGAAAUCUAGAUACUGCUUUGCGCUAUGCAAAAAAGUUCAUUGAUCAAACAGGAGGCUGCCUAAUAAAGGGUUGGAGGUUGCUUGCUCUUGUUUUGUCUGCUCAACAGCGAUUUUCAGAAGCUCAUGUGGUCACUGAUGCUGCUUUAGAUGAGACCGCAAAAUGGGAACAAGGGCCACUUCUCAGGCUUAAAGCAAAGCUAAAAAUCUCCGAAUCGUUACCCAUGGAUGCAAUUGAAACUUAUCGUAACCUUCUUGCUUUGGUUCAAGCUCAAAGGAAAUCCUUUGGGCCUCUCAGAAUUAGUCUUCAGGUUAACAUUCUGACUACUGCUUUACGUUCUUCACUUCGUAUCAAAAUAGAGUCUAUCCAGAUUCCUCCUAAAUAUAAGAGUCCUCCCUAAGCUAUUAUUUGUAGUGGUGGGAAAAUGGUAUUAUAUUGUGAAUCUGCAAUAUUUGGGAGGAAGUUCAGAAAUUUGAUCUGAUUGUUUCAUUCACGUAGUUUUUUUUUUCAGAUAUUGGGGUUGGUAUGUGAACGCUGGAUUAAGUUGCUUUAUCUGAAGAUAUCGGUUGGGUUGGGGUGGGGGUAGGGGUGCUUAAAGGUCGUUAUGAGUUUGAUUUACAAGGUGGGGCUAGUUCUGCACUUUAAAAGAUGGACAAACUUUAAAAUAUACCAAGAUGUGUGGCACUGUCUAGUAACUGGGAAACGAGUAAUUGUUGCCAUUCGAUUAACAUUUACUUGUUCCUCUUUCAUUUUCAAAUUCAUUUCUGAUGCAAUAUUUUGUGUAUCUAAAAUUACAUUUUAAAUAUUUUCUCAACAAGUUGUUCCUUCCUAUGUUUUUGUUUGCCUUUUUAUAUAGGUUGAGGAUGAUAAAGUCAAUGAAUUUGAAGUUUGGCAUGGAUUAUCAGACUUAUACUCUAGCCUUUCAUAUUGGAAGGAUGCUGAAAUUUGUUUGAGCAAAGCCAGAGAGCUGAAGCAACACUCUGCAGAAACGCUGCAUGCGGAAGGUAAGAACUAAACUCGUGUGCUAUAAUUAAUGGAUUUCUAAGGCAUUUCUAUUCUAUUUCCUAGAAAGUGAUGCAUGAAAAUCUCCAAAGUGUCUUUCAAGGGUGAGUUUUAAUCAUGAAGGAACUAAAUAGUGUGACAGAACUUUCAAACACUUCCAACACUAGGGGACCUAACGUGGCACAGAAGCCGUGUACCUUCAUAGAAAUGUAAUGUGAUCAUUUGAUAUGCAUUAUGUUGACUGUUAAAUUACAUCAUGUGUAGGUGUCAUCUUUGAAGGACAGGGACAAAUUCAGGAAGCUCUAGCCGCUUAUAUCGAUUGUCUUCUGCUAGAACCCUGUUAUGUUCCGUGCAAGAUUUUGAUUGCCGCUCUUCUGUCAAAGAUGGGAUCAACGGCAUUGCCUGUGGCAAGGAGCUUGCUGUCGGAUGCAUUAAGGAUCGAUCCUAGCAAUCGAAAGGCUUGGUAUUACUUGGGAAUGAUUCACAGAGAUGAUGGACGAAUAGGGGAUGCCAUAGACUGCUUCCAGGCAGCUUCCAUGCUUGAAGAAUCUGAUCCUAUUGAAAGCUUCAGCUCUGUUCUCUGAUGUCUCCCUCUGAAAGAGCCACUCGGGGAACUCGGAAUCUGCUUAACUUUCAUCUCAUUCAUCUGUUGAAGGGAAACAUUUUUUUGAGCGUAUUACGAGAAGAAACGAAAGCAAGGGAAGCAGAAGCUCGUUUGAUUUUUGUGCAUUGGAGAAGUGAAAGUACAGGAGAUUUUUUUUUCUUUUAUUCUUUGUUUUGUUUUCAUUUUUGGAGGGCUGGUUUUUAGCAAUACUUUUGCUCAGCUGUGUAAAUGUAUGUGGUUUAACUGAGCAAAAGUAUUUAUCUAAAUGAAAUUCACACAUUCAUUUUAUUGAGUUGUAUCAAUUGUAUCUUCUCAUGCUCUCAGUUUUGGAGGGCAGGUGUUACGCACACCGUUAUGUAGCGUUACAAAUUCACUUUACAUAACGCAUAUUUUUAUUUUAUUUUAUCAAAUAUUAUAUUCUAAGUUCAUACGGUAUCAACAAUAUUGUCAACGUAUAUUGUAGUACGUGGAUUAAUAACACCUCCCGGUAGUGCCACCAGGCACCACGCCAACAGUCCUAUGUUCUCCAUCCUCAACUCCAUCUCCACUAUUUAUUUAUCGUAUAAAUACAAUUUUUCUCCAAGGAAUGUAUUUCGAGGGUGAUAUAAACAAUAAUUUGGGUUUGGAAGUGGGUAUUUGAGGCUUUGCGUCCACCCCAGAUGGAUAAGAAAUGCAAGUGGGAAGAGGGCCCAGCAAGCUGCAGCAACACGUGAAGGGGGAAGUGGUGGUCCCGCGGGUCAAAAGCAACAUGACCGCGAGAGAUUCGCUGUGGGUGGGCUCACAACAAGCCCAGUUUCUAUGAUUGAGAUCGGUAGAGCCAUUGUCAUUCAAAGCUGCCAUGCCUCCUGGGUUAUAUGAUUAUUGUGGCGAGCCCAACUACAUCUUUUUGUAAAUCCCACGGCUCAAAAUCAAUUCUAACGGUAAUAAAAAAAAUCUAACGGUUUAAAUAUAAAUUUAAACGGUCAAAAUAAUACUAUUAAUUAGUUUUAAAAUCAGAUAUACCCAUUGCAUUUGACCAUUAAUAAUAAUAUUAAUUAAUAUUACUUUAAUAUAUUUUUUGUAUUGAUUUGGAAGGAAAAGCUGCAGCAGCCAAAUGAGAAAAUCGACUAACGCUGAGCGGCUGAUAAGUUGUAGUAUUCAAAUUCUACUUUGUAAUUUGGGUAACGGAUAUCACAAUUAAACGGAGGCCACCUAAAUAUCACAAUUUAUUUAUAAUAUUCCGUUACCUAUUUUAUUCUUAGGCUAUAUUUUAUAAUAAUAAUAAUAAUAAUAAUUCAGUGAUCGUCCAAUGAUUGUGCAAAUACUGAUAUAUGCCACUCACAUGAGACCUGCAAACACAAAACACCACUGCUUGAUCCACAGGGAAAACAGUAAUUUUCCACACCCUUUCCCAGCCACCCCAAUCGAAAUGGCGAGUUUAUGUGAGCCAUUCUGACGUGAACGUAUCUUCAAGACUUGGGUUCAUGUAGCCGGAGGAUGGCGGCCGGGAAGUUACAGGCGGGAGAUAAGAAGCGGUAUAGACAUGGCCUCCUCGCCCAUGACUGGCUCGAACAAAUCCAACUCCCCAUAACGCUCAAGAACUCUCAUCCUGCAGUCUUCGGCUGCCAUUGCUCCAGUAGCGAAUGCACCGUGCACUGAGCCUGGGAAGUCCACACUUGUUGCCUCCCCGGCAAAAAAUAGGGUAUCCACCGGGACCCUUAGCUUCUCGUACAGAUCAUGCGGUUUGCCUACCAUGUCGUAGCUAUAAGACCCGAGCGUGUUAACAUCGCUACCCCAGCGAGAAACAAGAUGCUGAAUCUGCAAAGUUGGAAAGGGAUCAAUUAAGUUAGGGUUCAAAGAUUGAAAGAGACUAAAUCGCAUUUCAGUGUCUGAUAUGGAGUUUUGGAAACAAGAAUUACCGGAGUAGAAGCGUCUGGAAGGAUCUUCUUGAGUUGCGUAAAAGCAAAAUUAGCAGCCUCUUCAUCAGACAUUUUCUCUAUGUCUUUAGCCAGCUGCCCUGCAGGCAUAUAAACAAGCACAGAGUGACCGGUUGCCUUGUGAAGAUUUAGAAAGUAGCUGCAGCAGUAAGAUGUGUCAGCAACCACUCCUAAGAACUCCACGUUUGGCCAAAACACAUUUUCAAAGUGCAAUACGAUUUUAUUCUCAAUUCCCACUCCGAGGUCUUCAAUGGCUGCUUCCUUCCAAUCGGGUAGCUUUGGCUCAAACGUUAUGCUCUUUGCUUUAAGCACACCGAGAGGAACAGCAACAACAGCAGCAUCUGCAACAAACGUUCUCCCAUCCUCUACUGUUACCUUCACCCCAUUAUAUCGCCUUGUUAUUUUUUUGACCCUGAGAAUAGGAAUGUACAAUGCUGGUUAGUUUAGCUGCAUGCAGAUUGCCGAACAUAUAUAAAACAACAUGGUCGUACCCAGUGCACAAGGCUCCCGCUUUACGCAGGGUCUGGGAGAGGUGAAUGUCGGCUAGCCUUACCCCCAUUUAUGGAGAGGCUGCUCCCAAGUCUCGAACCCGAGACCUACCGCUUAUGGGCGAAGGCACUUACCAUCGCACCAAGUGCGACCUCUGAUAUAUAAAACAACAUGAAUAAAAAAAAAUGCAUACCUGUGGCUCAAGCGUACAUCGAGACCCUUGGCAAGGGUGUUAAUAACAGGGAGGUAACCCCUGACCAUCAGACCAUGACCACCAGGGAGCAGUUCUUCCUAUAUAAGAGAAUAAAAAACUAUAAUUAAAUCACCUAGGUUAUAAACUCGUUAAUGCAAAAAUUCGGAUUAACGUACACUGACAUAAUAAUUUACAGUUGAAUUAAGACUCAGAAAGGCAAUGCGUUUAUUAGUAAUCUGAUGGAUGAGAAACUUGCCUGAUCCCAGCAUUUAAGUGAAAUUGUAUCAGCAUCUGCAGCAAACCAACCUUCCAUUCUGCACAAAUACCACUGCAGUACCUUAUGCGCAACUCCUUCCAACCUGUCCAACAUAAAGCAUAACACUUUCCCUAAACUAUUUCUAGACCAACAAGACGUAAACAACUGAAACAACGUAAUUAAAUAUGAUUUUAAAUUAUGUACCUUAAUUCUGGUUUCCUUUCAAAAACAAUUGAGAAAGCACGGGCAAUGGGCAUGUCCUCACUAAAUUCCUGUCUUACCGCGUCUGUCUGCAUUAAGGAAACAAAAGCAUAUCAAAGAAUGGCCAAAAUGGCAAGACACUAUUUAAGGCUUAAGAUAAAAGCAAAGAAACAAUAAGAGUAUUUCAAAAACCCAAGUCUACAGCUUUAGAAAAAUAAAAUAUACACAUCAGAUGACUUGCCUCUUUCAAAAUGUUCUCAAAUACUUCGCCAACUUUCGUGACCAAAUCUUGAGGAACUUGAUUCCCAUCCAUAUCAAAGAGUGCAUAGCUGCAAAGAACACAAGAAAAUCUCCAUGAUGUCAGACAUGCCGGUGCACAUGACAGCUGGGGAGAAAGAAAUCAACUUCAAAGAAAAGAGAAAGCAAUGUAUUACCAUCACAAAUAUUUAAACACACUUGAACGUAUCAACCGUAUAUAUAUUACAUUGUAGACUGCUGGUAAUACUGUAAAUUGUCGACGGCAUACCUUGGUAAUAUACUAGAAUGUAGGAGUAUAAAGCGACAAAACAAUUUAGACCCAAAAACAAAGAACCAAGCACUGUAAAACUAAAGCAAUGCUCACCGACAACCCAAAAUUGAACAACAUUUAAAAUUCACAUCAUUUCAAUACAGCCACUCAUUUCAAUACAACACCUACAUAAAGGGAGUAUCAGUUUGAGGAAGAUAUUAGUACCUUUCCAAGUCAUGGUCAUAUAACACAGAGUUAUCUCCACUCGUACGGUAUAAGGGUAACCCCAGUCUCCCAAUCAAUGGUGCCAAUGGAUUCUCUUUGCAUACUCCGUGCAACCUGAAGCAUCAAACAACAAAAUUUAGGCUUCUAAAUUCAAGUCAUCCGAAUUCAAAAUUCAGGCGAAUCGAAUCCCUAUUACAAGCAGGCAAUCCACAUUCUUGGCUUACCAUGAUGCACCCAAAUCAAUGGGGAAACCGAAUGAGUAAUCGGUGCAAACUCGACCGCCAAGUCUAUCUCGAGACUCCAACAGCACAACCUGACCAUCAAAAUUCAAAAUUCAACAAAACCCAUAACUGCAAAUUUCAAUGUGCAAAACACUGAGCUGGGAUUUCCAUCUGGGUACCUGAAUUGAAGCAUCGUGGAGAGCACGUGCGGCUGAAACACCCGCCAUGCCGCCGCCUAUAACUAUUACAGACGGAGACGGCGCCGAUCGCUGCCUCUUCUCACCAUUUGAGCAAAGAGCUGAAUUUGCACAAGAAAAAUACCAAACAAAUUAAUUUUACACAUAAUCCAGGAUUACGAACUUUUAAAAGAAACGAACUUUUAAACCCCACAUGGAAAUUAAAAAGGUAAAUGUGAACGGACCUCUUCGCAAUUGGUGAUUACUCUUGCUUCCAGACGCCAUGGUGAUUCAAAUCGAAAUUGGUAUUGGAAUUAAAAUUAAAAUUGGGAUUAAAAUUAAAAUUAGAUAAUAAUAAUAAUAAAGGAUCGAGGGCUUUCUUCUCGAAUUUAAGAAUGGUAAGAGGCAAUUGAGGGGAGUAAUGGGGAAUGAAGAGCAAGAGACACGUAAUGAAGUGAUUGGAAUUGGAAUUGGAAUUCAAUGUCCUCUUUGAAAAACCGAGCUCUCCCAACCAGCUCAUGCGACUUUCUUGUUACCAAACGAUUUCUCAAACAGCUGCGAUCGCCGAUCGGAUUCCGAUUUCCGGCGAGAUAUCGAGCGCAAUCGAACAAUGGAGAGAUCGGGGGGAGGGGGGUGAAAGUCGGGAUUUUUGGCCGCGGAUUUGGGUGCAAACUGGAAUUUAGUGGGUUUUGUGAGAAAUUGGUGAAAACGACACGUGAAUUCUGGAGAGAGAGAGAGAUUUGAUUCCCACCGCCCUGGUUGCCGUGGGUAUAUAUAGACAGCUAGGCCAGCCCCAACAGGUUAAGGAGAUAAAAGUAUUCUCAACUCGCUGGGGUAUCUGGAUGUGUACUCGCUUCAGGAUUGUGCCGCGUGGAGAUGAUAUUUUGGAAAUUAUAGGGACUCUGAUUUCAAAUUUUCGCGCAAAAAUGGAUUUUCCCGAGUAGGGUUAAAUGUGGCAACAACUGAAAAGAAAGUGAAGCGUCAAUUGUCGUACCGUGUACGGUAUUCAACCUGUUUUUUUUUAACAAAUAAUAUUAUUCACAUUAAGAAAGAAGUUGUAGAUUUAAUCUCACAAUAGAUUAACAAUAAUAUAUCUUUUAUUUAUUUUUUAUUUUUUAUUUUUUGUAUUUAUUUUUUAUUUUUUAUUUUUUGUUCUUUUCUUAAGUUUAUCCAAGUUUUUUCUUACAAAAAAAUAAAAAAUAAAAAAUAAAUCUAAUAAUUUUAUUUAAUGAAAAUGACUAAAAAUUUAAUAUGAUAAGUAAAAAGGCUUUUUAUAUUAGCACCCCACAAAAUGUUGAAUGUACCCCACAUUAAAAUUUAGGGGUGUGAUAUCCACACACCCCAUUUUACUUCUCACACACCUUUUUAAUUUUCGGCUGUCGGAUCAGAUGAAUUGAAGAAGAUCAACGGACAUAAAUUAUCAAGGGUGUGUGAGAAGUAAAAUAGGGUGUGUGGAUAGCACACCCCUAAAAUUUAAUAUUAAAUGACUUAUUUAUCCCACUAUACAGUGACAAUUUUGACCUUAUUGGAUUUAAAAAUGUUCUAAAUACACUUCAAAUCACUUUUAGUGUAUUAUUUAUCUUCUCAACUGUCAUAACACUCUCACCCUCUAUUGUUGAAUAAAACCCUAACCAAUAAAACUACAAACAUGUUGAUUGAGAAAAAUUGUUUUUGACGAAUGGAAAGGCCUAAAUUGAUGAUCGUAUCCAGAAACAAAUCAAAGAGCAAAACCAAUGAGGACUUGUUGGUGGAAAUGUCUGAGAAAAUUGGGUUUGAAGUUGAAGUUCUUAGACCUAAUUCGAGCACCAAGUUGGCAAAGAUUUAUUGGGUUCUUAAUUUGAGUGAUGUCGUGAUAGGGGUUCAAGGUGCUACAAUGACAUAUUUUCUGUUCAUGAGACCUGGCUCUAUGUUGAUCCAAGUGAUUCCUCUUGGAACUAGUUGGGCAGCUGAGGCAUAAUUUGGGGAACCUGCAAGAAAGCUUGAUUUAAACUACAUCGGCUACAAAAUUCUUCCCAUAGAGAGCUCGUUGUACGAAAAGUAUGGUAAUUAAAGAUGAUCAUGUUCUUAAAAAUCCAGCAAUGAAGCCAUUACUGAUGUUAUCCUACUUAACGAUGGUAAACAUCUGUCAAUGCAAACUAUGCUAAGACGAUUUCAAAACAUUCGACAAACUAAACGUCUAGAUGAUUCGAAAUAUUUCUACAAACUAAACGUUCAAAUGGUUAGAUUCAGUCCUUGAAAAUUAAAAAUGAGUGUUAUAAGAUUUGAGAAAUGUGAGGUGUAUAGAAAACGUGGGGUGUAUGUACAAAAUAUAAGGUGUAUAUUGAGAAUGCGGGGUGUGGGGGUAUUAUGGGAAAGUAUGUGGGGUGUAUUAAGAUAAUUUUUAAGUGAAAAAAAAAUGUGGGGUGUAUUAAGUAUGUGUGGGUUUAUUCAAUAAUUUGUGGGGUGUUAAUAUAAUAAGCCUAAGUAAAAAACAUAAAAUAGGUUAACAGGCAAAUCUCGCACAUCUCUACUUUUCUCUCUCUCUCUCUCUCUCUCUUCUUUAUCUUUUCCUCUCCCUCUCUUCACCCAUCACCAUCAUCUCUCUCGUUUCUUUCACUCGUUACAAACAUCAUCUCUCUUCUUUUUCACACAUCAAUAUCAUAUCUCUCUUCUCUUUAAUGUCACUCCUUCCUCUAUCCCUUUCCUUUUUUAUUUAUUUUGUGAGAAAAUUGUAGAAAUAGUCAUUCAACUUUAAUUCAAUUGGAGCAAUAAUUCUUCAACUAAAAAUUCAUGAUAAUUGGUCUCUUAACUUAUCAAAAACGUGCAAAUAUGGUCAUUUUUGUCUACUCCAUCAGAAUUCCAUCAAAAUGAGCCGUGUUGAAAUGACCGUUACUACAACUGAGUUAAAGUUUAGGUACCAUUACUCCAAUUAUGUUAAAGUUGAGGGAUCAUUUCUCCAAUUGGGUUAAAGUUGAGGGACCAUUACUACAAAUUUUCUCAUUUGCUUUUCCAUAUUUGUUUUUUGAUUCAACCUCACGUGUGUAGCACGUUACUCAUUUUAACGGAAGUUCUAAUGAAAUUGACGGAAAGUUGAUGAGAGGUGGCUGGGAGGAGAGAGGGGAGAGAGAAGAUAGAGAGGUGGAUGAGAGGAGAAAUGAGAGAGAGAAAUAAAGAGAGAGGGUGGCGAUGGGUGGAAAAUGAGAGAGGGAGGGAGAGAAAAAUGAGUCUUAUUGGGCCAGUUUUAUUGAGCUGUUUAAUUUGAGUUUUGUCAUAACUAUUAAACAAAGUUAUUAAGAUACUUUUGGUUAAGAUUCAAAUUUUUGAAGUCAUUUUCAUUAGUAUUCCUUCAUAAGAAAAAAGUUAACAAACAUAUUUCACGUAGAACUCGGUCCAGUGAAUUGUGCUACGAUGGAUAUAAUUUAUGUAAUUUAUCAAAAAUAUAAAAAAUGAGAUUCAAACUUAAGGGUAGAUGAUAAAUCAUAAAACACACAACUACAACCAACUUGGGUAAACAGUAAAUCCAUAUUUAAGAGAUGUAUUAAUGCCAACAGGAUCCUCUCCAGAUCCUUUUGGUGAGAAUCUUGAAAUCUAUAAAUCGUGUCCGUUCAUCGUACAUCAUGCGGUCAGUUUUUGUCAGGUAUUAUUUGUAUUCAAUUUUAAAUAAAAAUAAUUAAAAUGAUUUCUGAUCGCACGAUGUACAAUGAACGGAUAUGAUUCACGAAUUUCUAGGAUCCUCACAAAGAGAAUCCGGCGAGGACCUAGAUUCGUAUUAAUGUACCACUUUUGUGGGCUUUGUCAAAACACAUUGAGCUGUAAAUAAAGUUAUAUUUACGUGUCAAAUUAAUUGUUUGCGCACAUCUUUUAAGAGAAUGAUAGGAGUUGGGUUAAUAUUGAAUAAUAAGAAAACAUGGGUAGUAUUAUAAGGGGGUGUUUGUUUUCCUUCACUAUAGUUCACUGGACUGGACUGGACUAAGGCUUAGUCCAGUCCCAUGUUUGUUCCCCAUGGGGCUUAGAGUUAAUGAGAUUAGCUCUCACUCGCCCCGACUAAAACAGGGCCUAGCCAGUCUUAGCAAAGCCCCCAAAAACCAUGGGAUUGCUAAUCCCGUCUCCAAACUUGCGUAGAACGAUCGCAUGCAGCAAGGCUUAUGAACUGCAAAUCUGCAAAAAUGCUUCUGGGCGACUUUGUUUGCCAACCCAUGUCCAGAUCUGAAACCCAGCCCCACCCACAGCCUAAAUCUCAACACCAAAAUUCAAAAACAUAUAUGCAAAAUGAUGAUAAACAACAAUCCCAAUAGCAAAAUUCUUCCUUAUUCUUGAAAAUUCCCAGAAAAUUUCCAAUUUUUUUUCCUUUUCCCCAGAAAAUUUCGGAAAUAAUGGAUAGAGAAGGGGAGAGAGUAGCUUUGGGACAAAGAGAUAUGGAGAGAUAGAGAGGGAGAGGAUAGUAGCAUGGGGACGAUUUGCAAGAAGAAUGAUUUGAAGGAUUUUGUGUUGCAGGAAAAAGAUGGAGAAAGGAAGUGACGGGGACAAAAUUAAAGAGGAAGAAAAGGGAAGAACUCUCUAGAGAGAGAGGUGGUGCGUGUACUUUGGAAAUAAAAAGGAAAAAACUUGAUUUAGUAAUAAAAUAUUAUUGAAUGAAUAAUAAAAUAUUAUUAGAUGUGUAUUAUAUAAUAUAAUAUUAUAAUUAUUAGUUAUCAUGUUUUUUAGUCCGACACUACAUCAAACGCAUCACUAAAUCAAUCCAACUUAGUCUAGUCUAACUUAGUCCCUGAAACUAGUCCAGUCCGAGAUAGUCCGGUGCAACAAACGCACCCUAAAGGGCUAAUCAAAUGAUUUUCCUUCUCAAUUGAAUCUUUAUCAUUUUGUCACACUCGCAUCAUCGAAACAACUUGAACUUUGAGAGGUAGUUUGGCUCAUUUGAAGAAGUAUAUUCGAAACUUGUACACACAAGGACAAAUCUUCCACAGACCGAGAAGUGUAAACUUGUGGGAAUUCCCGAAUAGAUACAAUAGGCACGAAAUGUAAAAAUAUGUUGCAUGUAAAAUUUCUACAAUAUAACAUGUUUGUAGACAAAUACACUCGUGGUAUUGACAUUACACUCCUCUUCCUAUUUGGUGAUAUUUAUAAAAAUAAAUGUGGUCAUCUCAAGCCUCAUCCAGUGGCGGAGCCAAGAUUUUUUGUGAGGAUGGGCCUCUUACAAAGGUUCUUAAAAAACGAUGCAUCAAAGGUAAUUAAAAUUCCAAAAUAUAUAUGCAUCGAUAAUAUUUCAUUCAUUUUAUGAUCGAGAUCGUUCAUAUUAUAAAUUACUAUAAAAAGAAUAUGCAUUAAAACUAAGAUCAUUUCGUCAAUAAUUGUAACAAAUAGAUAGACCAUUCGUAAUGCUUUUAUUGAAUCCGUCUAUCUGUUUCCAUACAGUUCGAUGACAAAAAUCUUAGUUUAAUUGAUUUUUACAAAUAUGAUAUUUAUAUAUUAAUUUAGGGUAAAUUUUCGUUUGACCCCUAAACUAUAAUCCCAGUUGAAAUUGAGCUCCUAAACUUUUUUUUUUGAUAAAUUAACCCCCUAAACUAUGUAAAAUCAGUCAAUUAAUCCCUUAUCAUUAGAAUGCGAAAUCAAUUCCGUCAAAUUCAAGGGCAAAUUAGUCCUUUCAUGAUUAAUUGUUACUUGUCAGCUAUAACCACCAAUAAAAUUUUGACACAUGGACACAAAAUUAUCCAAAAACAUAUAGCAUAAUGAGAAAAUAUUAAAAAUGAAAAUAAAAACCAACACAUUAUUUUGUUUUCACAUGUUAUAAUUUUAUUGGUGGUUAUAGUUGACAAGUAAGAAUUAAUGAAGGAAAUACUAAUUUUCCUUUGAAUUUGACGAAAUAGUGGAUGAAAUAUACUAAUAAGGGGUCAAUUGACUGAUUUCAAAUAAUUCAAAGGGUUCAUUACCAAAAAAAUAGUCCAUGUGUUAAUUUCAAUUGGAGUAAUAGUUCAAGAGGUCAUAUGACAGUUUACCCAAUAAUUUAUGAUAUGAACGAUCUCAAUUAUAAAUACAAAAUUCUAUAAAUUGAUCACGAUGUAUCUUAAAGUUCCUCCUAACCCUUGAGGAGUCAAAUCUUUAUUUAAAAAAAGGGUAAAAGACUGUUUACUUAUGUUUCGUGGUUUUCAACAUUUAGUACAUCAAGUUUUUUUCAUCUCAGAUUCAUACCUAAAGUGUAAAUUUUGGGACAGUCUCAUACAUCCGUUAGUCAAACUGUUAAAUCUGCCGUUAAUUGUGACCUGGCGCCCAUGUGGACAAUGACUGGAUGCCACGUGUCAUCCACGUUUUUUUUUUCUUCUUUCUUCUUCCUUCGACUGCAACUUUUUUUUUUCUUCCUCCUUCUUCUUCCUUCCUCCUUCUUCCCCUUCUUCCUUCUUCCUUCUUCUUCCUUCUCCUUCUCCUUCUCCUUCUUCCUCCGAAUCUGGGGAAGUUUUUCUUCUUCUUCUUCUUCUUCUUUUUCUUCUUCCUCCGAAUCUGCCCAAAUUCAAUUUUUUUUUUCUUCUUUCUUCUUCUUCCUCAUUCUUCCUCUCCUUCUUCCUCCGACUGCAACUUUUUUUUUUCUUCUUCCUCCUUCUUCCCCUUCUUCUUCUUCCUCCUUCUUCUUCUUCUUCCUCAUUCUUCCCCUUCUUCUCCUUCUUCCUUCCUCCCUCUUCCUUCCCCUUCUUCUCCUUCUUCCUUCUUCUUCUUCUUCCUGCUCCGAAUCUGGGGAAGUUUUUUUUGCUUCUUCUUCUCCUCCUUCUUCUCCUUCUUCUUCUUCUUCUUCCUCCGAAUCUUCCGAAUCUGCCCAGAUUCAAUUUUUUUUCUUUUUUUUUAUUUCUUCUCUUCCUCCUUCUUCCUCCUUCUUCUUCCUUCUUCUUCUUCUUCUUCCUCUGACUGCAACUUUUUUUUUCUUUUUUCUUCCUCCUUCUCCUUCUUCCUUCUUCUUCCUUCUUCAUCUUCCUCAAAAAAAAAAAAAAAAAAUCCUUCAUCUUCCCCAGAUUUGGAGGAAGAAGAAGAAGAAGGAAGAAUGGGAUGGAAGAAGGAGAAGAAGGGGAAGGAAGAAGCGGGAAGGAAGAAGAAGGAAGAAAGAGGAAGGCAGAAGGAGAAGAAGGAGGAAGAAAAAAAAAAGUUGUAGUCGGAGGAAGAAGAAGGAAGAAGGAAGAAGAAGAAGAAGAAAAAUGAAAAAAAAAACAAGAAUCUGGGCAGAUUCGGAGGAAGAAGAAGAAGAAGAAGAAGAAGAAAGAAGAAGAAAGAAGAGGAAGAAGAAGAAGAAGAAGAAGAAGAAGGAAGAAGGGAAGAAGGAAAGAAGAAGAAAGAAGAAGAAUGAAGAAAAAAAAAAGUUGCAGUCGGAUGAAGAAGAAAGAAAAAAAAAACGUGGAAACGAAGCACCCAGAAUUCACAUGAAGCCACGUCAAAUUAACAGAAAAUUAACAUUUUGACUAAGACGAAGAAGAAGAAGAAGUCCCAAAAUUUACACUUUAGGUAAGAAGGAAGGAGAAAAGGAAGAAAGAAGUAAUGAAAUGAAAGACGAAAUGAAAGUAGUAAAAAGUUUUUUAUCCUAAAAAAAAAAAAGUAUUUGAUCGCCAAACCGUCUUAUGUAUCAAUGAGUGCGCCACGUCACAAUUAACAGGAAAAUUAACAUUUUGACUAAAUGUAAGACCCCAAAUUUACACUUUAGGUAUGAAUCUGAGACGAAAAAAACUUGAUGUACUAAAUGUUGAAAACCACGAAACAUGAAAGUAGUAAACAGUUUUUUAUCCUAAAAAAAUAAAAAGUAUUUGAUCGCCAAACCGUCUUAUAAGUAUAGAGUAUAAUUUAUGAAAGGCCACGCAUAGUUGGACACUCCCUAAGUCUAACCAUAGAGAAAAUGAAACGUAACUGAAACCGAUAGGUGUUGGCCUCCCUUUUUAGUAAAUUUUCUCUGCCUCAGCAGUCGGCAUCACAUGAGUGCCUUUUCAGAAACAAAAGGAGCCCCAAAUCCAACUAUCCUACCACCCGGCAAGUUCAUCAUCGUUUUUAAGUGGUAAAAAAUAUAUGAUAUUCAUUUAACUACUGAUGAAACGGAGAUGACUCUUUCUACAGGAUUACAUCAAUAUUCUACAGAUAAAUAUUGAGGAGACUUUUUCAAAAAUGAUUUUUCAUGAACUCUAUUUUACCUCAUGUCUUUGAUAUAAUAUUUUAUAAUGUUAUGAUGAAAAUUAACGUUAAGUUGGACGUAUCAGAAAAUAUCACUUUGAGAGUCUCCUUAGCAUUUCUCAUGUUCUACGUACAAGGAGUCUCUUUCCACGUAAAACUACAACUAGUGAUUGAGGACUUGCAGCCAAUUAUCAAUCCCAACAAUUAAAUAUAUUUAUAGGGUGGAAAACACUAAAUUUAUAUAACUAUAUAUAGUCAAAGAAAAUAAAGAAAGCAAGAUAGCAAUAAUCGAAGAGAAACCAAGUUGCUAAUGGAGGGUGAUUAGGCAUGACAAAUGCUUAUGCAGUGUGACGUAGGUUGAUGGAAGUAAUUCUAAACCCUAAGUCCUAAAUCAAUGUCACAUGUUGUCUAUAAUAUAUGAACUCAAAAUAUGAUAUCUUUAGCAUUUUUCAUCAAGAUUUAAUAGAAUUUACCGAACAGGUGGAGAUUUAAGAGAUGGCCGGAGGGCAAUCGACAAGAGGAGUUAUACAUGAGCCUAGCUCAAACAGUACUAGCUAAAAUACGUGGAGCAUUUCUAACAGUACUAGCUAAAUUUCUUUUAUUGAAACUAGACAUAUGACCCGCGUAUCAUCUGUCCAUAUCUAAACUAUUUAUUAAGGGAAGAGCCAUGUUAACUACUUUUCUAAAAUUCUUAUCAUGUAGUCAUUUUUCUAAUAUAUUUUUCGUUUAGGGAAUUGCUAUUAACACUCCAAAAAUCUCAUUCUACAUUCCAAACUUUCUAUAUUAAGAAAGAAAAAUACACUUAUGAGAAGUGCAGAAUAAGAUUUUUAGAAUGUCAAUAACACUUCCCUUUGCUUAUUAUAUAUAUUAGGGACAUUUCGUAUAGUUUUUUUUAUUAGGGCUAUCUAUAUCAAUUACUAAAAUUUUCACAAUAUCAAUAAGUUAUCUUAACUGUUUAGCAUAUGUACAUUGCUCAUAAUCCCAUAACUUCUGGUCAGAUUUUUUUUUUUUAAAACAAACUAUAUUAUUUAUACUAAGAAGGUGAUGGGUAGGCUAAGCCUGGACUACCAAUUAUAUUGUUCAAAUUCGUCUUUGGCGAUAAUUGAAUCUAAGACCUCUCACUUACAAAUGAAGAAUAAUACCAUUAAACCGUAGUACUAAGUGACUCCUUUUAGUUAGAUUUUCAUUAAAACAAAAAAUCCUUUGGUUAAUAAGAAAAAUUAGAAGAGAUCGACAAUUCAUAAUCCAAUAAUAAAAUAAUACUUUUGAAUUUGAAACAUACACCCCUUCCUUUUGAGGAUUAAAAAACCAAAACAAAAAACAAAAAAAAACAAAAAAUCAAAAGCCCAAAGGAGUAACAUACAAAGGGUUAGAUCUUUUCAAUGUAGUUUUAAUUACUAGCAACCUAAUUUUGCAGAAUUGGAGCAAAUGCCAAAUGGUUUUCCUUACCUAAUUACGUACCAAAUGUUUCAACUCAUAUGAUUUCUUGGUGAUCCUACCUACCAAUGCUUUGCACAAGGAUUAUUAUCAGCCACAAACUUUUACAUAACUAAUAAACAAUGAUUAAAUUAGAUUAAUCCAUUCAAUAUUGCUCUUUCAUUACUCAGGCCGGUCAGCACCGACCACCUUUUUUUAAAGCCCUCAAAGGCUCAAACGCCAUUUCUGUGCGGAGGUUGAAAUGUCAAGGGGAAAGGGACGUUCACAUUCAUGAGGAUUAUGCAUGGGGGCACUUGACCAACCACGUGUUGAAAAUACAUAAAUAAUUCGUGUUUAAUUGUUGUCGCAAAAUUGUCUUCCUAUGGGGGUGUAAACCAAAGGUCACGUAAAUAUCUUACUUUCCACUCCACUUGAGGAUUUGUCAAGCCAGAGGCUUGGGGACAUAAGUCAGUGACUUGGGGACACGUGCACCCUUUCAUUUCCUGACGUUUGUUUUGUUUUUCUUUCUCCCCAAAUGGAGUUUAUUCAGGCUUUUGAGCCCGUGACUCAGUCUUUUCUUCUGUUGUUUUUCUUCAUGAAAAAUUAUUUGGUGUUCCUGAAUAUAGAUUAUAAGGUUGAAUUCAUUCGAUUUUUAAAAAAGAUUACUAAUCUUUAACUUUUGAUGAAUCUUUCAUUAGUAAUCGUGAAUGAUCCUUAAUUUUUUUGAUCUUGAUUCCGUAGGAGUAAGUCAGAAAGAUUGAGAAAUAGAAUCAUCUGAUUUGAUUCAUUCUCAAUAACUAUAAUAUGAUAGAUAAAAUCAACGCUAGUAAGAAGUCCUAUUGAAGCCAAGAAAUAUGAGGCUGCAUUUUCUAAGCUAAUUAAAGUUUAGCAAAGUUAGGUCCUCUAACCCUAGGUUUUGCUUAAAAUCAGGAUUAUAUUGAGUAACCAUACUUAAGGAGCUUCAAUUUUCAAACACCAAGGAACAUAGAGAAAUAUAAAGAAAUGAAAAACAAGUCCCUAUGUGGUGACUUAGUUAAGUUACGCUCAUAUUUAAGUAUUCUAUGGCUUAUCUUUGAGUAAUCUUUCAUUUUAAUCCUUCCCCCAAAAUCUUCUUUUUAAAUUUAUCAUUUUCUCUAACUUUUCUACUCUUUAUUUGGUGGACUUCGCUACCACUUGCCCAUGUGUUAGCUUUUGUUCAACUUUGUCCAGUUAGGACUUUUUGUUGUUAUUAUCUGAUUCUUAUUCACUAUUAGUGGGAUUGUUGAAUAUUGAUUAUUUCUCUUAUAUGCCCAUUUGUCUACAAAUUCAUCGUGACUACUGACUAGAUGUGUUGAGUUAUAUGGCUGUGCAAUUUCGAUUCGUAGUGGUAGUCAUGACUUAUGCGCUUUGGUUUCCAACCUAUUUUUGGAUACCAAUCUAAUGUUCCAUAUUAACCACACGUUUUUCAUAUCCUCUCGUCGUUCUUGUUUUUAUCAUCUAACCUAACGCAAUGGACAGUCCACCCCUAAAUGAUAAGGUCAUUGCCCUUCACACACCCUUAAAUGUAGUUUUCGUUCUCACAAGAUGAUAUGAAAAACGUGGAACUGAAAGGUCAUGACCCACAUGCACGUUACCUGCAUGCACGGUGUACGUAUACUAUGCCCUACUAGGAGCAAGAUGAUAUGAGAAGGGGUCAGAUAAUAAGGCAACCUCUUUUGUAAGCAUCCUAUUCGUUAAGGGUUGAAAAAGCCUCUAAGAAAACUUUAUCUUGUAAAGUUAAUAGGAUUCUUUUUAAAGGAAGAACAAUCUAAAGGGCACGAUAACUGUUGAUGCUAAACAUUGCAUCAACUAGGUUAACGCUAUAAAAUUACACAAUCACAAAAAGUAACACGACCGGUUUGUCGCGGUCCACCCAACUCCAUUGGAGCAUCAGGCUACGUUUAUAAGUUAAUACACAACAUGUUAUAAUAUAUUUUGUGAAGAUUAUAUUACUUAUUGGUUUGAAUCCCACACAAGCAUUUCUCUUUUUGGCAUAUUUGUUAAGGAAACAAAAAUAUUCACAAAAGGCAUUAGCACGCACUAAAAUGAGUUGUCUUAACUUAUAGUAAAAAUUUGAUUUAAGAAAUCAAUUCAUGGUAAAUCUUUUUACGACGUUAGAUUGUGUGAGAUUUUAGUUUCAGUUUCACAUAUGAUCCUCAUAAUCUCAUGGUCGCUGUUCUCUAUGAGAACAUUUUUGUACAAGUGAUAUUGAGAGGAGAAAAAAAAUCAAAUCUUGAACUUUGGAUUAACCUCUUUUUGUAGUAGAUUGAUAGGGUUAGUAUGUCAAAAAGUUAGUCGUUACGGAGAGGAGAAUGUAUAGGCGUGAUUGUUUUCACCAUGCAGUAAAACGCCAUCUUCAAAUAGUGUAACCUAUAGAUUGGUAAAAUUACAAGAUACAAGCUCCUUGCUAAAGCUGAAUGGUAAAAAUUUAAGAUGGAUAAAAUAGAGUAAAUUGUCGAUUUGGUCCUUUAAUUAAAUUCCGAGUAAAAAUUUCAUCCAUAAACUAAGUCUUUAAACUCAUUAAAAACUACAGAGUUCAUCUUUACUAUAAGAAUAAAAGCUAUUCAAUUCAAAUUAUCAUUACUUGCACAUGAAAAUAAUUGGCAUGCACCGUUGGAAAAAUGAAUGAGCUCUCCACGUCUCUAUUAGGCUUUUAAUGUGGCAUUCGAAGUGGACUUAGGCCCAGUCCAAUUGGCUGGGCUAGCCAUUCCAACAAUGAGUCUAGAGACAUUGAUUUCCACGGUAACAUCGCCAAAUUUCCAAUGACCAAAUUUCCAUCACCGAAAGCAAAGAACCAAAGAAACUGAAGGCAUGUUUGGUAUUCAAUUUGUAUUUUUAACUUAAAAACAGUUUUUGAGUUUCAAGCUAAGAAUCUUUAUUUGGUAAAACUAUUUUUAGAAAUUGAGCUCAAAACCAAUUUGAAAAACUGCAUAUAUUAAAAACACAAAAAGUUAGAGUUUAUUUGGUACUCUACUUGAAUCCAACUUUUUAAAUUCAAAAAUAAUUUUCAAGUUUUAGGCCUUAAAAACUUGUUUGGUAAGACUAUUUUCAAAAACUAAAUUCAAUACUAACUAAAAAAAUAUAGUCUAUUCUUUAAAAACAUAAAAAGUGACUUUUUAAAGUUUUUAAACUUAAAUUCUCAUUUCUUUUCUCUCCCUCCUCCUCUCUCACUCCAAAUCUAUCUCUCUUUUCUUAUUUCUCUUUCCUUUUUUUUUUACCAUUUUUGGCUCUCCUCCAAUCCAUUUUCUUCAUUCUCUCGGUUCUUUUUCUUACUCCUCUUCCUAUCUAUCUCGUCUGAUCCUCUCCAUUCUUUAUCUUUCCUUCAAUUAUCUCUUACUUUCUUUUCUACACUCUCCUCUUUCUCCCUCUCAUAAGAUUUAAAAAUUUUAAAUCACAAACCAAACAAGUUUUUGAGUCUUAAAGAAAAUUGUUUUCAAGAAAUGUUGUUAAAAAAUGUUUUGAGAAAUAAUAAAAAAUUUCAAAUAUGAUACCAUAUAGCCCUUAGUUUUUCAGAGUUUUCAAGCUCAACACUCUCCACUCUCUCUCUCUCCUCUCUUCCUCCUCUGUCCCGAUCUCUUCUCUUUCAUCUCUCUCUACUCUAAUACCAUAUCCUAUCUCUCCCCUCUUUCUCUCUCCUCUCUCUACUCUCACGACAGAUCCUCUCUUUCUUACCUCCGUCAGCGCCACCAAUGAAUUGAUGGGUGAAUUUUUUUUCUUUUUAAAAAAAAUGUGAAUAUAAAAACAAUUUUAAAUUUUAUACCAAAUAAGUUUUGAGUCUUAUUAAAAAUUGUUCUUAAAAAUGGUCAAAAGAAGUAUUUUUUAAAAUGAUGAAAUUUUUUAGUAGGAUACCAAACAGGCCUUAACUACUUUUUUCGGAGAAAAAAAGACCCUUAACUACUAAUGCUAUGAUUAAGGAAACCAUUUAAUAUUGCUUAAAAAUAAAUUAAUAAAAGCACUUAACCAAAUUAAGGCUGCAGUUUUGAAGAAAACCUAAAGAGACUCCACCAAUGACACAAUGUUAUUGUGCCAGCAGUUAAUGGGCUAGUUGAGCACCUUCUUAUGUAGGCCCAAUGUGAGAUUUGCUAUUUUAAAAACCAAACACAAACAUUUUGUUUGCAAAUGCAAGUCAUGUAACUUAAUGAAUAUUUUCUAGUGCACAUUGAAGUUAUACAUUUGAUAGAUUCUCUAAGGUUAAAUGAUCUAACGGCCUUUAUUUAGACGUAUAACUUAAAUGUGUAUUUUUGAUGUGCAUUAAAAAAGUCUCAUUUUGUCUGAUUCUUCUUCCCGUUCUAUUGUAUUAUGGUGCCCAAGUUAGAGCUUGGAGCCCAAUUUUGCAAAUGUUGGAUUUUGUUGUUUCCAAGCUUACGUCUCAUGGGCUUCUCUUCAAUUCUUCCAGUCAUUUAUUCUACAUUAUAAACAAAACUUACUGACAUACUAUUAGGGUGGUGGAUUCCAUGACAUUAAUUUUUGUGAUUAUAUAAUUAUUAAUUGAUCGUAGGUACAAAAUAUAUAUGUCUACACAUAUAACUAUUCAAAUUGAAAUAGUAAUCUUAAGUAACAAACAAAAAACUUCAUUUUGUCAUCAAUCAAAGAUUAGGUGGUAUAGAACACCAAUGAUUGAUAGGGAAAACAAAUUAAUUCAUAACGAUUUAAACAUGGUUGUUAAAAUCUUUGAAGUGCGGUAUAACGAUGUUGAUGAUUAAUGCCACGCACAUGACUACUGGAUAUUAAUUUUUAUGUCGAUCCAACUUGGAUAAGACAGAAGCUGGGAAAAAAGAUGUUCGUGAAAGUUGGCUGGGCAAGUUUUGCUAGAAAUGGGACCAAUUAGUGAUGCCGAUCAGUCUUCGUCCACCUUUCCAACAUCAAGAAAAAGAUAUGCAGUGGGGACGACUGAGAGAGAUAUUAGUAAAUAAGAGAAGCUGCCAUUUGCCACUAGCUUCAAAUGGUUCAUGUAUCAUCUCUUGUGGUUAUCUGUUUAUAUGGCCAGAUCUUCUAGUGGAGGUCCUGUUUGGAUUAAUAUUUGAAUAUUGUGCUUAGUAGAAGGGAAGCCCAAAGGCACUAAAUCAAGUCACAUUUGCCCGAAGCCUAACCUUGAAGCCUGAGUGCCGGUUCAAAGACUUCUAAACCAAGACACAAGCCACGUGUCUAUAAUGGAAGUGACAAGUGAUGGAGACUAACCUACUAUCAGCCAAAAAACACUUUUUAGUGGCACUUCAAGUAAAACGAUGAUGACUCACUACCCCCCAAAAGCUUUUGGGCAAGAGUAGAACUAAGGGCAGUCAAGCCAAACUGCCUAUAAAAAAAGCUGAAUCAACCCAGAUUUAGUCAUUUUAGCAAUAGUUUCCUUAGAAAAGCUAUCUUUUGUCUAGUAUAAAAGCUCUGCUACCUCCCUUAGUGUUGUAGUAUCGAUUCCCUCGUGUAAACCUGUUUACCACCAUCCCUUUUUAGUGUACAACCCCUAUAAAUUCAAAGAGAAGUGGCUGCAAGAGGUUCAACCUUGCCAAACAAGGUGAAAUCUUGCCUGAGUCUCUUUGUUUGUCCUCUAAAUUAGUAGAUUUGUUGUUUAAUGCACUAUUUAGCAUGUAUUCAAGUCAUUUCCGCUUGUCUUCUAUUUUAAGAGUCUCAUUUGCAUCUGAAUCUGGUUAACUUAAUAGAUUUGUUUUCAUUCAGAGCAACUUGGAAUCAAACAAGUGACUUAAAGGGCUCUAGAUUCCCUCCAUUCGAACAUACAAGAUCAUGAACUAAAAGACCUUGUUUACAAGGCAAGAAAAAGAACUUAAUGCAGACUUAACCCAUCUCCGACAAUCCUUUGAUAACAAGAAGUUUGAGUAACUGGGGGCGCAAGUAAUCACUUAAAACACACUUGUUUUGCAUCUGCUAUAUUGCGAUAGUAGUGGCAUGCCUAGCACUUUGUUAAUUUUGAUUGCGAGCCUCAAAGCCUAUACCUAAGGCCCUACAAAGGCACCUUUCAAAAUUAACUUUAUACUCUUCUUGUAGAACACCAACAAGCAAAAGCCUGACUACUAAACAUCAAAGUGCCAAUCCUUGGGGAGCUGUGCUGAGGUCUAGAGACCUUCUCCAGAGAAAUAUUUGCCCAAAUAGACCCCAUCGGUACAAUGUAACAAUUGGGAGGCAAUAGGAGUCAUGGGAUGAUGACGGUGGUUGUGGUGGUAGUGAGGCGUUGCUAUUUCAUAUUUGCAUGUGAAUUACAUCAAUGGGAAACUGACCAUGAUGACAGGACCACCCUCAAACCCUCAUCUCAAAAGACAUAAAAUAGGGUACAAGUUGGGGGAAGUGAGAACAAAUUGAAAAGGUUGUACUAAACUUCGGAGUAUGACAUGAAUAUGAUGUAUGAGAUGUGUAGUCAGGAAUCAACUAGUCAUAAAUGGCAUUAUAUAGUAUACGGUUGCAUACUAAAAAAAAACUAAAUCAUAGCAGUUAACAUUUACAUGUACUGCGUUUGUUGAUCAUAUUGACGAUUAUAAUAGCUUUGAUGGAGAUAAAACUGGCUCAUAUAAGCGACUUUCACACAAAUGUACUCUUUAUGCAAGAUGCGAUUAGUAAGUGUACUAAGUUUAGUUUUACAUUUUAUUCUACUCUGUGAUUAGUGUACGUUAGUUCUCAACUUCUCAUUUUCCUUUUCCUCCAAGUGAGCUUUUCAGGAACUUGAAAAGAUGACAAUGAACUCCACCCACUUGGUGGAAUAUAAUGCUAUUAUCCCAUGCAUGUCGGAGAAAGCAGAAAUCCUUUCUUGCUGGAAAGGGGAAUGGAAUUUUGAUCAAUUAUUUUAUAGAUUAUAAUGAUGAUGGGAGACAAAUGUCAAUUAUGCACGUCCACAUGUAAGUAAUUGUUAUAUAAUAUUGUACUUCUAACUAGAACUGCACUAGUUAGUCUAAGUACCAGAACCCUAAUCCUUAAAUCCUAAUAGGCGUUUACGCUGCAGAUGUACGUAGUUUCCCGUUGCUGAUGAGUGCAAGUGAUUGAUGGCAUUGCAUGAGCCAAAAUGAACCCACCAUAUAUAAGAUGUACCAAAGCGUAAGUUAAUCGGCCAUCGAUGCAUGCGAAGCCCACAUCGCAUAAAUAAUACGACGAUUGUUAUCCAUUUAAGUAGGUAACUACACUUAACAUAUUUCUUCAAAAUACUAAACACAUACUACUUUGUGGUAAUGUUCUAAAAAUCGACCAAGAUAGCUUCUAGACAUAGGCAAUGACCAGCCUCAAUUAGGGCCUAGGUGUAGGCGAUAUGCAACCGCAUUUCUGGCCAUCCCACUAAGGAGACAAUAACUUUGUGGUGGCUGUCGACUUGAAUCCAAAAUGCUAAAAAUGCAGAAGCACAAAGUUGUAUAAUUGACACUAUGACAAGUGUCCAAUUCAAAUCUCUCAAACAUAGAAGGCAAUUAACUUGGAUCCCAAGUCAAAUAAUGCAAUAAAAGGAUAAGUCGUGCAAGCCAAGUGCAUGAUCCUGGAGUUUGAUGACUAUGUAACAUGAAAGUUUACAGAUAAAAAGGUAGCCAAUAUCAGCCGGAAGUAGUUGUGUCACACUAAUUGUGAAUUGAAAUGCAUAGUACCAAUUAAAUUCUUUUUAUUUUUUGGUUGUAUUUAACUUUUAGUUUAAAUUGUUUACGUAGGGAUCAAACUAUUUGGAUUCCACCAAUUAUUUAUUAUUUUCUUAAUCCCUGAUCUAUUACUGACUUCAUCAACAUCCAACCAUAUCUUUAAAUUGUACCAUCACAAUUUCAAUUAAAUUACUUUUUGCAUGAAUACAUCUUAUUAAGUAGUAUAACUCAAUCUGCUCAAAUAUCUGUCUUAAGGUUCCAACUAAAUAAAAGUAUACGUUAUAGUGACAACUCAACCAACAUGCAACAUGAAUUAGAGCUCCAGCAGCCACAAAGAUUCAAGAAUUUACCUUGGUUGCUUCAAUGUAUCCUCAAUCUCCAAAUUACGUCUCCACUAAUUACAAUUAACUCAAAUCUAGCUCUGUAGAUAGGGGCGGAUGCAUUAAGGGGCAGAGGAGUUAGCUGACCCCUCGAACUUAAGUGAAUAUUCAGGGAUAACUUGAGUACUGACCCUUUGAACUUCGGUGAAUGUCUAUAGAUGACUUGGGUGUUGCCCUUUAAAGGUUGGAGUUGCCCUUCAUAUAUGCCUUUCAACUACUUGAUAAAAUGCAUUAGAGAGGUGUUGCUCCUUUAUAGUCUACUCCUAAUAUUAUUUACCUCUGGCUUGUUUGUUGGUUGUGAUUACAAUGGUAGGCAGAAAGAAAGAACCAAGUAAAAAACUAUCCAAAAAUGCAAGGUAAAUGAAAUGGUGAUCUCAGAGACUAACAAAACAUCAUCAUUCUUGGACAAACAUAUUAAUGAGAUGCAAUAAUAUCAAACAUUGUUAGUGUGUUCAAGAUAAGUGUGUUUCUUUGUUAAGCAUUGACAUGGGAGCAGCCUUGGAACAUGUUAGUUGCCCACGUAAAUGAGGCAUUAACAGGUGUAUAGUAUGUCUUUUCCAAAUGACUUCAGACCUACCAAGACUCGAUGAAAUGACGAUAUACAUGUUAUUUCUGUUAAAAAAAAAUUACACGCUGCCCGUACUAUUCUUAUUAACCCCCCUAAUAUUAUUUCUUGGACCGCCACUGUCUGAAGAGCACCCUCAUCCGACCGCACCAGGGCUGUUCGUUGGUGCUUCGGAAGCCAGAAUCAAGGGCUCUAAGGAAAGAAAGCUAAAGAUGAGAGAGAGGGCUGACCCCCAAGAAGGAUGGAAUAGCACCCCCAAGAGGAAAAUAAGGCCCCGAAUUCUCCAGCUUCCCUUCCUUUUCUCUCAUUUUUUGUAUUUUUUUUUCUCCACCUUUUUACCCUCCUUUCUAGAGCAUCUAGCUCUCUCCUUUCAUUUUGUUUUUAUUUUUUUUAUUAUAAAUUUUGGUUCCACAUGAGUAUCCAGAAACCAUAACUUAAAAUCAAAAUGGCACUUUGGUAAAUCUUCCAACAAUGAAGGUUAAAAUAAUCACUUUGAUCAUAAAUUGAAUUACAAAGUCUAAAUGGUAAUCGUGUCAUUGUCGAGUCAAAUAAUUAAAGGGUAUCACAAGUUGGCUUUGGUUGUAUUUUGAUUCCAAGACCGCUGUAAUUGACUAAGAGACCAAGAUAUAUAAAGCUUGAGAUAGGUUAUUGAUGCUCAACUUUGAAAACAACAUGCAAUAAUUUCACAAGAGAGAAUCGAACUCAGGAUUUCGGAGUGCAAAUGUUGAAUGCUCUUUAUGAACUGAGCAACAAGUCUCUUGAAACAUAUUAUAAUUAGCAUGUGUUCGAACUAGGGAUGGACAACGGUUAUGGCUGACGAGUAACCGCAGUUAUUUAUCCAUAACCGUUUAUUCUCAUACCCGUAUAACCGUUUAUCCGUUGAGUAAUUGUCUAACAGUUAUACCCAUACCCAUAACCGUUUAUAAAUGGUUAACCAUACCCAUAAUCGUGUACCUAUUUAACCGUAACCGUUUAGUACCCGUUUACCCAUUUAUCAUUUUUAAACUCGUUUAUCCUUUCUUUUUUACCAUUUACUCAUUUUUCACCCGUCUACGUGUUUUUUAACAACUUGAAAAUUAAAAAAGAAAAAUUUGUCAUAAUUUUCUUUUUCUAACAAUUAAACACUAUUAUAGGUACAUUUAUCAUACAUUUCCGCAUUUUAAUUUUUUAAGUCCUUGUACCAUUCCAAUAAUUGAAAUAAUAUUUUACAGACAAUAUUUUUAACUGUUAGCAAUGAAGAUAAUAUAAAAUUUGCUAAGUAUUCUUGGGUUACGAAAACUGUUGAAAGACAGUAUUCUUGGAUUAUUUAACUUGGAAUGUAAAAUAUUAACAUAAUAUAUAUAAUGGACCAUGCAAUUUAAAGUGGUUCAGGAAAGUUAUAUUAUAUUAGCUAUAGAAGUCAUGCACUAUAGUCAAUAGCAUUGAUCUAGGUUUUGUCUGAUAAAGAACCAUGGUUUGUGUUAAUUUUACAUAUAUAAAAUAAAUGGGUAAAUGGUUACCCGUUUAUAACCGCGAUUAAUACUUAUAACCUCUCAUUUAAAUUUUACGGGUAAACGGUUAUACCCAUAACCGUUUAUUUAUCUAAACGGUUACCCAUAACCGUAACCAUAAAAUUUAAAUGGACGGGUAAGGUUACCCAUAACCGAUGGGUAUUUGUCCAACUGUAAGUACAACAUUGAAUUUACCAAAAAACAAAAUUUAAAGGUAAGAACAAAGAAAAGCUUAUGUGAUCAUUCAACUUUAUUUAUUUAUUCAUUUGAGUUUUCCAGUUUCUCCAUAUAUCUGCAGCGACAGACAAGCUCCUCACAGGCAAAGCAUAAGCAUAACGGCGCAAACAAAGAAAACACUUGAAGAAACAUAUAUCAGUUUCCAUUAAAAUUUUGAGGCAUCCUUUAACAAGAGGAACAUCGAUGAGCAGCAAUAAUAUGCCCGUGUUUAUACAUUUUUAUGGGGCAUGAAAUACUAUCUUCCUUUCUUCCCAGAGUAAAAAAAACUCAACUCAGAAAGCUACACAACUAGUCUUGUGUCCGCUUGUAAGGUUUCAGAACCAGUUUAAUGCCGGAUUGAGAUGUUUGAACUCUUGCAGUAGUUGUUCAUUGGCAUACACAUACGAGAGUGACUCUUCGAAUUAUCUAAAUGGUAAGAUCAUGCGAUCUGCGUGAGCAAAAAAUGUUCCAAUAUAAUUCAACAACUUCUGCCACCAAUUAUAUGAUCUUGUUUUAUAAGCCAGCUAGGGCCGGGGGACCAUAUAUAGAGAUGAGAUAAGUAUGCAUCCUCUCUCAUUAACCUGUUAACAUCAGAAAAAAGCAGUGUGUCCACUGAAAUUAGUAUGACAGUGACACUUAUGGCAUCAAUGAUUCAACCAACCAAACUACUUUUAACAUAUUAUCAGUAAAAAUGAAGAGCUAGAAGAAGAAUUCAAUUCAGUGAGACGCGCCCAUGUGUUUCUGAACAGAUUUGUCCAUCGGUAAUGGAGAUCACAUUGGUUGGAAUAUAGGCCGAUACGUCUCCAACUUGUGUUCAAUGACAGGUAAGGCGGUUAAGCUACCUGCAUCUGUCUGGUCGAUUGUUUAGCGGACGGGAAUGCAAAUAGAAAACAUCGCCUGGGGUGUAAAGGUUUUUUUUUUUUUUUAAAUCUCAGCAAUUAGUGUGAAACCAUUAAUUAUAUAUUGUAAUUUAUUUUGUCAAGUCUCCGACGUGAGAUUCUUACAUUCUUCAACAGAUAUGAGCUGCUAUACUGCGCAACAAGAAUAUAUGCGGCCAACCCCUUUAGAGAGAAGUAACAAGUUUGUGACCAUUCACUUUCUUGAGAGAUGGCAAUGAAGAUAAGGUGGGAAAUGAACACAAAAAAUUAAACCGAAUUCACCACACAGCCCCUGAUUUUGACAGCCACUUGCUAGGGUUCACAGAACUUAUUUAAACAAAUUAUUCCUUUUAAGUUUGAAAAAGAAGUUAUGCAUGCUUCUUGUAUAAAAAGUGAUUAUACGUUAAGUGCUUUUAAGUGACUUACUCAUUUUUCCACUUAAAGGGUCAUUAGUUGCAGCUCUUCCACCGAAAGGUCCACUGCUGAGACCAUUUGGUGCCAUCAUCUGAUUCUGUUGUAGAGGUUGGGAGCCAAAUCUGAACAUAUUCAUUGGCUACACAAAAAUUUCAAUAUGAUAGAAAUGAAAAUCGUUUGAGUUAGAUAAUUAACGACAACAAAUUUUUUAGUCUAACAAGACACCGAUGACUAAUAAUUUACUCAAGACUAAGAAGACAAACCUGAGACAUAGUCUGCAUGUGAUGGAAGUUCAUGAGACGCAUGUAUUGUUCCUGAAAAGAGGGAUUUUGCAUCUGGUUGUGGUAAUCAAUGGGAUUCAAGACCGGUGGUUGGCACAUUACAGUCUGGUUUGCUGCUGGAGCCAUAUUCAUGCACUGAUCAACGAGCGGAUGCCUAGGUAAAUGCAUCGGAUUGUGCAUAGAAGGCAAGGCCGGCGGUCCCAUUCCCAUUCCCAUUCCCAUUCCCAUUCGGGAAAUAUAGUGCUGCAUGCCCGGAAACAUCAUUGGUGCCAUCCCGCUUCCCAUCCACAUUACCUGAAUCAACAAGAAAAAUUGUUAGUAGCUUGAGCUACGUACAAACAAUAUAGGACCAAUUUCGGUUUUAUGAGGGGACGUUGUACCUGCAGUUGCAUCUGAAGUGACUUCAAGUAAUCAAUUGCCUCAUCUAACAUUGAUGCUUUAUCUGUCUGAAAAAUCAAGGAUCAAAUCAGUAAAAGAUAUUUAUAACUAGAUAAUAAUUAGAAACAAUUAAAGGGGUUGUAAGAAAGUAAAUUCACCUUGUUAGAAUGAGGUAUAAGCUCUUGCAAUGCUCUCAUUUUCUCGUUAAUCCGAUCUCUCCGUUUCUGCACAAAUGGACAAGUUAUUAGAAAGAAACAAAAAGUGACAAAUUCCGAAACUUUGUAAUGCUAGGAAACUUAAAAAAUUCUACCCUUUCUGAGAGGUUAUGGACUUCAGCAGCACGACUCCUCCUGGUCGAUCCUGAUCGAUGCGCUGACUUACUUCUCGCAGCUGAAGCUGAUUCAAGUUCAGCAGCCUAAAACAUAAGUAAAAUCCUAUUAAUCGCGGCAAAAAUCAUUAUUACAAGUCAUGUGUUGGAAAGAGGGUUUUAAUUAAGUUUUUACCUCACUUUGGCACUCCGAGUCUUCUGCCUCUCUACCCUUUCUCUUGUUGCUAUUGACAACAUUAGACUGGUUUCCUCCUCUGCCAAAACUACUACCAGAACCGCCAGAAGACGAAGUAAGCGUUGGAUCAAGCGUAUCCGUUUUCCCUGUCUCGCUCUGAGGCAUUAUCUUAUGAACGUUGUCGUAGAAAUGUCCAGCCGAUAAACCAGUAGUUCCAUCACAAUUGCUUGAAGCCCUGCUCACAUCAAGGUCAUUUAGAACUUGGUUGCUACCAACGUAACUCGAACCAACCGUCAUCACAGAACACUCCCUAACCUCCGCUUGCGCUAAAUUUCCGGACUCUUUCCCUCCUAACUGUCCUCUAGAAGAUCCUGCUGAAACCUUUCCCGGGGUUGCAAAUUGCGAAAAAUUAACUAUUUUCCCCAAGCCUCCUUGAUUUUGGUUCUGCUGAUCAGUUGAAUUAAUGUAUUGAUAUCUUGGAGGAGGCAUUGGAUUUGCAGGGUAUUCCACACCAGCGGAGGACUUGCCAUUAGGCCGCGGUGAGUUGGAAACAAGACGCGCGGUGUCAGAAGCAUCAAACUUCACAACCUUCUCUCCCUCAAACUGUUUGAUUGGUUUGUCAAGCUCAAUUGGAUCACAGGAAGGCAAUUCAGAGAAAAAAUGGGAACAAAACUCUUUGUCGAAAGAAUCCUCAAGCGGGUAGUGGAUAAGUGAAACGGUGUCAUCAUCUUGAAUCAGAUUACUUGAAUUCCCAUACAACCCCCCAGACCUUAUUGAUUGCUGAUCAUGUUUCUGAACUUGUCUCGAUUGAUCAUUCGGAUUAAAACUUGGUUUUCGAUGCGUUUGGCUGUUCAAAACUACUUGCCCAUUUCUCCACAAGAGCUCUACAAGUUCAUGGUCUGGCCUGUAAAAUAUUUCCCCCCAAUCAAGAUAGCUCAACAUGGAAGGCGAAAACUUUGAGAAUAAGUAAAGAGAAUACAGACCCUAUUGGUUUCUUCUGGUUGGUCAAGGGGAGAUCAGACUCAAAGUUCCACUCGGGAAUGCAAGAAUUCAUGUCUCUGAGCAGACAGAAAUUGCUGCAAAACAAAGAAAGAAGACAGAUUUAGAGAUGAUUGCAAAUGAUUAAUACUACUAUAAUUAAAAAAAUGCUGCAUACUAAAAAUGGAACCAAUCCUAAGUCCUAACCCCAAAUAUAUAACUACAAAAUUUAAUAUCAUGUUUACUAGACCACAUAAAGUUUGUGGAUUAAAAAAUUCAGAACCCAAAUCAGACUCUUCAUCAUUAAAGUAUUGAUUAACAUAAAAAAUCAUUAAAAAUUGAGAAUAAAAUAAUCCCUACCAUAAAAAUAGGCAAAAGAUGGAGAAACUUCAACAGGAAAGUUGCAGUUGGAAAUAGAGACAUCAUUCACCACUUAAAGGAAAAUAUUAUUAAGAAAAAUAAGAUAAGAAAGAAUAAAGAAGAUUAUGACAUGAAAUUUUUUCUGCUUUUCUACAAAAGUAGAAGCCCAAAAAGCAAAAAGGAAUUCUUUUAUUGCAUAGAGCAAUACAAACCCAGAAGGGAAAUGAGAAAUAAAAGAAAACCCAAAGCAGAAAAUUAAAUAGAAAAGCACCCCUGAUCAAAAGCACGGCUCUUGAACUGGAAACUGAAGGCUUACAGUACAAGCUCUAAACUGCUGUUGUCAAAAGCACUUCUUUUUCUCUCUACCCCUCUCUUUGUGGUUGUGAGGUGAGCUUGGAGGGCAACAGGAAACUGGGAAACCGACCAAAUUAAUGAGACUUUUACAGCAGUUAGAGUUAAGACAGGGGCUUGUUGUCAGUGAGAGCAAGGAUUGGCUAGUGACACAGAGAGCUACGUAUUUCUACAGAAACCCAUGCCAUCAGGCCACGUGGCAGUUACCCAGUUGUGCUAUGCUGAAAACUUGUGGCUAGGUCAGUUACUUGUAGAAUGCAGGAUGGUUUGGAAAAUGGAUGACUGGGAUUGGUUAUUUGAAGGCAGCCAAAAUCUAGAACUUGAAGGGCAAUCGAUCUGUGAUAUGAUAAUGUGUAAGGGUGGUGCCACGUGUGCAUUGGCAAUAAUAUUUUAUUGGACAAUGAUGAGGGACAAGAUUGUCAGAGGCAAAGUUUUUGUUGACAGCUUGGCCUAAGUUGGCAAAUUUUUAGAUUGCUGGAUGAUGCAAUUGCAAAUCUGCACUUAUCUUAUUCUUAUCUCCAUAGAAGUUAGAAGCAAGGAAAAAUAAAACCUACAAAGUCAACUUUUUUCUAUUUUUUUUAAAUCAGUUUCAGCUUUGAGUUCCAUCUAAGAGUUCGAAAAAGAAUUAGUCAAACGAUAUAUGGGUCUGGUAUAAGGCCAAUUUUUUAAUAUAAUCACGUGAAGAGUAUUAUAGAAAUAUAUGAUAUCGGUUUGCAUGGUACAAUAUCUGUGUAAGAGGAGGAAAGGUGUACUGAGAAGAAUAAAAUUAAAGAUGGUAUACCUUGAAGUUUGUCUGUAUAAGCACCCCCCAACCCCCAAUAUAUGUAAUCAAGAAUUUAGAUUCGUUAGUCAUUUUCUAAGUCACCCAUCACGUGAAUUGUCAUAAGUACAUACAUAAUAAGUGAUAUAGAGUGAUGAGGAAUCAGAAAUAUAUCACUGAUUGCACCAAAGUUUUUCUGCCUUGGAAGCCAGCAAUUGCCAUAAAUAUUGGAGGCAGCAGACCUAUUGAUCCAAGCCAAAAUUUUAUGGAGGAUGGUGGCCAGUCGAAUCUGCUAACAGAUCAUGUUUUAUAUUUUCAUGUGAAUCAACACAAGGAAAAACAGAUUUCCACUUUAAAAACCUCAGCUAAGGGCAAGGUCCAAGUCUUUGGAGAAAACUGUUGGAUUUUGGAGCAAAAUCUUGUAGCUAAUGUUCGCUUUCAUUUGUAGGUAGUGCUUGUUGGCUAGAAUUUUGUGUAUGUAAGUUUAUGCACAAGGCUACUAAGUACUAGCUCACAAAGGAGGUAGACACAGUUUUUUUUUUUUUUUUUAAAUGAGUAGACACGUGUCAUGUUUACUUAUAGAAAACAGAAAUUAAAAUAAUUUCGAUUAUUGACUACCAUCUACUACUUGGAAUUUUAGGAAUCAGAUCAACUGGAGGGACUAAUUGAUUUCCUUCCCCUUCCUUCUUUCUUGGCCCUAAUUCAUUACUUCCCAUUUUUAAGUACGUAAAAAACAUGCUACUAAUGAAACACAGUUUGACUUUUUAAAUGUAAGGAGUCACUCAUCCAAUUUACAAAAAAAAAAAAAAAUACUUGAACACACAUAACAUUGUGUGGAAUGUAAAAAGUAAUGCUCCCUUACAAGUAAUGAGUAAUGGUCUCAUAGAGACUAUUAGGGUGUGUUUGUUUGACCGGAUUAGGGGGGACUGGACUAGACUAGAUUAAUUGUUUGUCCAGUCUUAUGUUUGUUGUCCACAUUGGACUAGUUUUAAUGGGACUAACGGGGACUCGCCCCGACUGAACGCUUCAUUAAACAUUCUUAGCGAGACCCCUCAAUUUCAAGUGGACUGCUAAUCCCGUUCUUUCCCCUGCCAUUGAUCCCUCGAUGUCUCCCUUCUCCUUUGCUGCUUUGCCCUCUCCCUUCUCCUUCGCACCUUCGCCACUCCCUUCUCCUUCGCACCUUCGUCCACUCCCUUGGGCCUUUACUAUCCCACCCAAAAGCCUAAACCCAGACCUCAAACAAAAAUUGAAAAACAAUCCACUGAUUCCCUUUCUUUCUUCUUCAUUCAAUUCACUCUCUCCUUCUCUCUCAGCAAAAUCGCCAUGGUUGCAACCACCAGACGACCAUCACCAGAAGCUCGAUGUCGAUCUCCGCAUUCGCGCGCGACCCAGACGCAAGUCGGGACCGAAAGCGUACCAAAUGCUCAAGCACCUGCGAAUCCCCACACAAAUUCAAAACAAAAAGGAAAAAUCACUACAGAACCCCGAGAUUUUCCGAGAAAUUCAGAGGAGGCGCUGGGUGGAGAGCUCCGAUGAAUCCUCCGCGUGAAUCUUCUGCAUAAGGAAAAGAGGGAGAAGUUAGGGAUAAGUGGACGGAGGAAAAAAGGGAGACGGGGGGGGGGGGAGACAGUAGCCGGAAGAAAAUAGGGAGAAGUAUGGAGAGAGAGGAAGAAUAUUCUGGAAAAAUGGUGAAACAUAAUAAAAAGAGGGAGAUGAGAGGGAGAAUGGCGGAGGAAAAGAUGAAUAGGCUACAGAGAGAUAAUUUUAAGAAAAAAUUAAAAAAAGAUUUUGGCCUUCACGGAAGGAAUAUGAUUCUAGAAACAAAUAAAAUGAUAAAUUAAUAAAUAUAGAUAAAAUAAAAUAAUAUUUGAGUUAGAUAAUUAUUCAGCUUCUUAGUCCAACAUUGCACCAAACGCUUCACUAAGUUAGUCCAGUUUAAUUUAGUCUAAGUAAGUCCAGCUUAAUCCCUGAAGCUAGUCAAGUUCGAAAUAAUCCGAUGCGACAAACGCACUCUUAUUGUCCGACUUGUACGUAAGAAGCCAAUUAUUUUCUGACUCCAUCGAUUAAGGAUCCAAAGUUUAUGAACUUGACAUUCAUGUCACUUUGUUCUCAGAGGCCUGCUGCUGUCCAUCUAUGAACCUGCAGGCUAUGAUGUUUUCAGUACAGGAGUAGCAGGCCUAUCAUUUAGCUGCUACUUUAAUAUCAAGUUAGAACCUUCCUUCCACUCUCAUUUUUUUUUUCUCAAUGUAAAGAAGUUCAUAAGAGGUCGCACUUGGUGCGAUGGCAAGUGCCUUCGCCCAUGAAAUGUUGACCUAAUUUAAUUAUGACCGUUUAAACAAAAAUAUAUUGGAGAUGAGAAAAAUUUGGAAGGGAGAGAAUCCUACUUCAUUUAAGAGAAAGGCUAGUUAAUGCGUACUGUACCUAUAUGCUUUUUUUCUUCAUCGUCCAAGUUAUAUGUUUGAGAUCUUGGAUUUGUUUUUCCAUUUACAAGCAAAUGUCUUUAGUUAAGUAUUUAUACGAUAGUGUUUCAACUUAUUGUUAAAGUCAAACUACAUUAUUUUCUUCCUUGUAAGUCAUAACUACUCGUAUCGGAAGACGAAAAACAGAGAACUGUCGUUAGAUGUUUGUUCUCCGCCCGUAUCGUGUCCAUCUGAACAAACACUUACGAACUUGUUCUAAGACCACAAUGACAGUGUAUGACUACGAUUACUAGUUACAUCAAUGGUCAGCCUGCAAUCACUUUUAAAUUAGAUAUGUCAAAUUUGCAUUAGAUGUGAAGAUGCGUAUACAUAUUUCUUGUAUAGAAGAACUUACAGCCCAGAUGCUUGUAUAAGAAUUUAUAAUUUUUCAACAGGGAAACCAGUAACAGGUUUUAUCUUUGUAGCCAAAGCGCGCAAUUCGGCUACUUCUUCACUGUUGAGCCUCCAUCCAAGGGCACCUGCGAAUUCUGCAGCCUGUUCUCCGUUUUUGGCUCCCGGGAUUGGCACAACGUUGUCCUGGGCUAUCAGCCAGUUUAGGACUACCUGUUAACAGGAACCCGACUCGCAUUAAACCCCAACACCUAUUUCUACAUUUCAGAAUUCUUGCCUGAUAUAUCAAUAUGUGGUUUUAUGAUCUUAUAUGGAGAACAUGAAACUACCAAGAGUUGGACCACAUGUAUAUAAAACAGUGAAACAAAGAGCUGCUUUCAGCAUGAACUGGAAGUUGCAACAGUAUCUAUGAUGCGUUUGAUACUCGUAUUCAAGGGUCCAAAAUGAAUGAACUGCUUAAAUACAGAUCUUUUGGGGAUAAUUUUUCAGCCAUGCUUCACACAGAAAUGAAAACUUUAGGGCUUCUAAUUGAAAAGGAUAAAAGCUAGUUAAAUUUAAAGAGCAUCAACAAACCUGUGUGUUUGUUUUACUGUACUUUUCUCCUAUUUCCUUGAUCCGGUUCAGCAGAGGUUGGAGCUGCAGAUAACAGCAGUAUUUUAGCAAAAAAAAUUGGAACUUGUGUAGCGGCAUUCAAAGUAUUGAUUAUGACCUUUGUAAGAAAUUCAGGAGUAUAAAUUUGUCCUCGGGGGCCACUUGGGGGAUUUUCAGGUGUAUACUUUCCUGUAAGAGCACCUGCAUAAGUAUAAAUAGUAGAAAUGUCAAUCUUCUCAUCUCUUUUAUCUCUGGAUCGGACAGGCAAAACGUGACUGCUGUGACAACCAAUCUAGCAAGAUCUGCGUUUAAAGGCCAUAAUCGUUGUAACCGGAGUUGUGAAGAGAUUACAAGUACUAAUAUAAUAUCCGAACAGACAUCUUUUAUCAAGAAUCCCUAUGUUUUUUUUGUUUGUUUUAGAAUAACUACGUCCCUUUUGUAUCGUUAAAAACUGUUUAAUUUCUUAACCAAAAACAAGAUGUUUGGAAUUUUUUGUAAGGUAUUUAUUGGUUUGGUGAAAAUAUGAGUGCAAGUGUAGAACAACAAAUAGACAACACCUCCUAUUGCUAAUAAGAUAUUUCACCCUUUACCAUGCAAGACCGCCAUUCGCCAACUAUCCAGCGACAGUUGAAUUCAACAAAAAGAAAAAUACAAGCAAGAUGUUGAAAAGAUAAAGCACAUUAAUGCACAAGAUAUACAGAAUUUUAUGUGCUUCACUGUUUCAUUUAGGCAUAUAGUUGGAAGGUGAUAGCCUGAAAGGUGAAUCUUUAUGUGCACAACUUAAGUCCAUAACUAUCAUGAAACAUAAAAUAAAUACGAUCGUAAAGUUGAAGUUAAGAACUGCUUGACAAGGAAUGCUCGAAAAUUCAAAAUUCAGAUUAAAAGGCCGACUGAGAAAAGCGAGUAGGUCUGCCUUCCCCUAAGUUCUAACUUAGCAAGGAUUAAGUUCACGCAGAGAGGUCUUGAAUACUGUAAAAUAAGAAGAUAUUAUAUCUUCUAGAAAUUCUUUUAUUAAUUCUUAAGCUAACAUAUAUGAGUGACGAUAAGAACAUGGUAAGAAAACACAAGGUUCCAACUUCACCUUGAGCAAUAGGUGAAUAGGCAAUCAAAGUGAUCCCAAGUUCAUCACAGGUAGACUUAACUCCGUUCUCCUCUGGUGCCCUGUAUAUGAGGCUGUAAUUCACUUGAUUCGAUGCUAGUGGGAUACCUCUCUUUUGAAGUUUCGUGUGUGCCUCACGCAAUCGCUUUUCUGAAAUGACAAACUUUAUGCGUCAUCUUCUGGUUACGAGCAUCUAUGAUAGAACCUUUUUUUCAUGGUUUGAACUGCUACUUUUAACCAACAAUAUAAAAUAGAUAAGAUAUUGAUUUAUACCGCUGUAGUUGGAAACACCAACGGCCUUCACAAGGCCCUGCUCAACAGCGUCUCCAAGACCAUCGAGAUACCCUGAAUUGAUUUUCCAAAUACCCCUCUUCAGAAACAAAACGAAAAUAUCAUACAUAACGGUUAUAACCUCCUAAUUAUAUUAGAAGACAUAUUUAUUCAAUGAAAAAAUGGUUUUACUUAUGAACAACCUUUAUUUCCCCAUAUUCCAGGCCUGAAAAAUGACACAAACACUUGAUCAGAUUUUGCAGUUACCUUAGCACAAAGAAGUAUUUAUACAUAGAGCAAAGCCUCAUAAGGGACAUACCAAUGGAGUUGAUACAGUUCUACCGAAGAAAGUUCAAGGCGAUUGAGGGAAUCCUUAAGGGCGCCCAGGACACUUUGUCGGCCCAGCCUCCACGGCAAAGCUGCAAAUUUGGUCGCAACAGCAACUUCUACUCCUGGAUCCUUUUGUUUCCUUUCCUUGAUAAAUCUGUGCAAAAUUCGGAGUCAGUUGUCUACUAAUACUCUCAAAAUACAGAAACCGACGUGAUUCUCUGUACUCUCUGUUGACUUGAAAUUAGAAUGACCUCUACAAAGAAUUCCUACAAUGUACCUUCCUAGUAGAGUUUCAGAAUUUACAGCACCAAAAGAAGCCUGCGAGAAUAGAUAACGAUGAAUUUAUUUGGAUUUGCAACAAAUUUUAUGGAAAUGUAUUUGAGAGGAAUAGAAGAACUAUAAGACGCUUUUCUUACCCUGGAGCCGUACACUUCAGCAGUAUCAAAGAAUGUUAUUCCGCCAUCUACACUGACAUCGAAAGCAGCCUUAGCUGCUUUCAUUUUCCUGUCUGCAGUUUUCUCCAAACAUAUUGUCAUCAUGAACACAUUUGAGUAAUUUCUAAUUUCCCCUUAUAAAUAUUAAAACCAAUCCAAACAAGAAAACUGCUUUAAUAGAUACAAAUCAUACAAUAAUUCAUACAACCAUUCGGAUUUUACGGCCAAACCUAAAACCCCAUCAAUCCACCAGCAAAAAAUUUCCAUUGCUUUAGCAUAAAGAUGAACCAUGAAAAUACAACUCACUUCUCACGUUCAAUCUGAAGCCAUGAUGGGCUCACACUUCACAUUGUUAUUGAAGGUGCAAGGAGUGAAGCUAAAUUAGAAACACCCCUUCAUAUGCUAAAAGUUUUUCUCUUAAAAGUGAUAUUUUACUUUAAACUAAUAUAAACUCGGGUGCAUGGGAAGAACACAUUCACACUAGCCUAUAUGGUUACACCGUACAACAACAUCUGGGAUGCUAAAAGUUAAUAUACAAAGACAAUAAAGGCUCAAAAUUUCAGCAAAACUCAUCUGCAACUAGUACAGCCACAAUCAUCUAUACAUAAAUAAUAUAUAUAAAAAGACGAAAAAUGUGAAGAUUUUGUAAUACCCAAAUUACUCUUCUACUAUUGAAAUUUCAAUAAAUAAAAUAUUUAUGGCUAAAUUUUUUAUCAUAUAUUAUUUUUUUUGUGCCCAUAUUUUUUAAAGUUUUAUUUGUGUUUGUACUAUGUAUAUAGUCACGCGACAGUGUAUAUUUAAUUAAUGAUAGAAAAAUUACAUAUGGUAUAUUUAUGUUUUAUGCCUAAACUUUGUAUCAUAUAUUUAUAUUUUUAGUCUGUACCCACUUUUAAUUUGCAACAUUUUUUUAAAUUUAUAGUAUUUUCUUUUUAGUUUUAUUUUGUACCCAUGUAUUAAUUUCUAUUAGGGCCUAUAUUUUUUAAAAAUUCAUUUGUCCUCAUAAUUUUUUAAUCUUUUAUCUAUUCCCUAAUUUAUUUAUAAUGUACCCAUUCUUCUUUAAUAAUGUACCACUUUGUUAUACAUGAAAUGUACCAAUUUUUUUAACACUUUGGAUACAUUAUAUUUUACCAUUUAUUAUUUCUUAUUUUUACAUAGUUUUAUUCAUUUAUUCAAUCAAAAUAUUUGAAUUUUUUUAUUGUAACCGUUUUUAAUAGUAUUAUAACGAAAGAUUUUAAAUUUAUACGAUUAUAAAUCUCAUAAAAUAUCAAAUAAUUAAUGUCAAAACUAUAAAAAUAUAAAUAUUAAUUGUAAUAUAAUGAGGUGUACAAAGUCAAUAGACUUUGAUCAAACUUUGAAUACCAUUAGGGGGCGUUUGUUGCGCCGGACUAUCUCGGACUGGACUAGCUUCAAGAACUAAGCUGGACUGGCUUAGACUAGACUAAGCUAGACUAACUUAGUGAAGCGUUUGGUGCAGUGUUGGACUAAGAAGCUGGAUAAUAACAAAUUCUAAUAUUAUAUUAUUUAAUAUAUAAAUUAUUAAUAUUUUAUUAUGAUCUAGGUGAUCGGAGAUGACGAGGAGUUUAUCGGGAGUGGUUGUUGAGCAUGACGAGGACGAGAAAGGAUAGUCUUAGCUAGUCCCAUAGUUAUUGGGGGGUCUCGCUAAGACCUCUUAGUGAAGGGUUUUGUCCAUGCUAGUCCCCUUUAGUCUCAUUAAUGUUAGUCCCAGCAUGGAACAAACACGGUAUUGAACUAACAGUUAGUCCAGUUCAGUCCAGUCUCACUUAGUGAGGGCAAACGAACACCCCCGAUUUUAGUCAAAUAAUGUUAAGGAUUAGGAUCUCAUCCAAAUAUCCCAAAAAACAAUCACAAAAAAAAAAAAAAAAAACAAAACAAAGACGUUGGCUGGUUACGUUCAUUACUUUUCAAAAUAUAUUUUAAUAAGAAUUAAUAAUAUCUAGUAACAUAAUAAAGCACCGAUUUGAAAACGAAUUUUCAAUUAUUUAAUCAUUUCAGUAAUGUUUAAGUGAAAUUUCAGCAACUUACCAUCCCAUUGGAAGUUAUUCCAAUAACUGGUGUCACCCCAUGACCAAGCUCCAAUCCCAAGCCUUGUCACCUUCAAAUCAGAGCCACCCAAUUUCACCCUAUCAUCCUCUGCGGUCACAUUCUCAGAAGCAACAGCUCUAACCCUAGGAACUCUCCUCUCACUCAAAGCAGAAAAACAUGCACUGCUAAGAUGCAUAGCCAUGUUUCCCAGGAACAACCCAAUUGAAGAAACACAAAACCAAUCUAAAACAACAAAUGGGUUUUCGAAUUCGAACAAAUUUAUGAUAAAAAAAACAAGUCAAAUUUCCAGAAAGUGGAAAAAAGAGUGAUCUGAAAGUGAGGUUUCUGAAAUUUAAGAACUCCAAACUCCAGAGAAACUUGGAGGGUCGGAGACAAAGAUUUGUGGUAAAUUAAUAAGUUGUCACAGAAGUAGUUUGUGUUGUUGGGUGAAGAAUUGAAGAUUGAAGAGUUGGGACAGGUGAAUUUUGUGGGGUGGGAAUAGUGAAGAGAGACUUGGUCCUCACAGUGUACACGUUCGUGUUGAUUUUUCACACGAAAAAAGGACGGCUGGAAUUGCAUGAGCCAUCAGUCCCAGCGCGACCAUCAAGUGAAGUGAUAACUUUAACUGGGCUCUGCCUAAAUUUUUGACAACUUUGUCGACUGCCCGGCCAAAAGAAGACAACUUGGGUCAGGAUUCUCAGUGUGAACUACAAGAUUCAGUACUGUUUGAUCCAUAAGGAAGUUAUGAUCAAAGGGAUAGGAUUCUCUUAUCUUUUUUUUCCUCUCCUUCUCUUCCCUUUUAUUUGAACAAUCACGGUUAAGUCACAUUAACAUCUUAUAUUAAUUUUUUAUAAAUAGAGAAAGAGAAAAACAAAAUAAAGAAUGUAAGAGAAUGGGAUGGAAAGGAAGAGAAAGAGGAGGGAAGAGAAUCCUAAUCCAUGAUCAACAGUUAGACUCAGUUGCAAUGCUUGUGUGUUUGGACUUUGGACGAGAGAUUCCAAACUACGGUAGAACUUGGAUAAAUAACCUCGGUUAAGUAAUAUAUCUGACUGGUUUCGACUUAAAGAUAAUGUGCUAAAUUAAUAGAUGGCUAAAGUUUUAAGAUAAUAUAUUAUAAAAAAUUCAUAUAGGUCUCACUUAAUAUAUAAAUUAAUAAUUCGUGCUGGUCGACACUCGGGGGUGACGAAGCCAUUAAAAACAUGCAUACAAAUAAAAUAUGUAAUUAGAAAGAGAAAUACUAGUGCAGGAACGUGUUUAGAGCAUACAACUAACCAAGAAUAAAGUGAAAGAAAUAUUAUAGAAAGGUACGAACCGAGGAAUGUGUACUACACAAAGGAGACUCAAAGAUGCCUAAGCGGAAGUGCCCUGACGUCGGGAUCGUGUGCCUCGAAUCUAAAUCCUGAGGGGCGCAAAACCAAAAUAGUGAGUGGACCAAAGUUUAUAAUAAUAGUAUUAAUAAUAAGAAAAACCAUUUCCUUCAUGAACAUACUAACCCCCUAUUUUGAAAACAAAUAUAAUACUACAUAUAGUAAGUUUUCUGAAAUCUCUAGCAUGCCAUGACAUCAUUCGUAAAACAAGUACGAGUAAAACGAUGCUCAAUAACAGUGCUAUCAUUGCCCAAAGGAAAAUCCAUAAAUCUUAUCAAUAUUGUACUCUCUAGGGGUAUCAUAGUUGCCUGAAGGCAGUACAUGUCCAUCACCCAAAGGUGAAGUUGUACGACACUGGGUUACGCCAGUGAAGAAACCUGGUAAGCCUCAUCAUUCAAGGGUGAAGUUAUACGACUCUAGGUUAUGCCAGAUAAGAAACAUAUAACAUCACACACCGACACUAGUCCUGGGCUAGUGAAGCUGGGGAUAUAUCAUCAACUCCUCAUUCGCCCGAAGGUAGUACAUGUCCAUCAUCCAAAGGUGAAGUUGUACGACACUGGGUUACGCCAAUGAAGAAAUAUGGUAAGCCCCAUCACCCGAAGGUGAAGUUGUAUGACUCUGAGUUACGCCAGAGAAGAAAUAUAUACAUAGAUAUCCUCAACUGUGUCAUAGACGUCUACAUACCCGUGUUUUGUGGAUGUAUUGUAUGAUAACCCCAUAGUUGCCUGAAGGCAGUACAUGUCCAUCACCCAAAGGUGAAGUUGUACGACACUGGGUUACGCCAGUGAAGAAACCUGGUAAGCCUCAUCAUUCAAGGGUGAAGUUAUACGACUCUAGGUUAUGCCAGAUAAGAAACAUAUAACAUCACACACCGACACUAGUCCUGGGCUAGUGAAGCUGGGGAUAUAUCAUCAACUCCUCAUUCGCCCGAAGGUAGUACAUGUCCAUCAUCCAAAGGUGAAGUUGUACGACACUGGGUUACGCCAAUGAAGAAAUAUGGUAAGCCCCAUCACCCGAAGGUGAAGUUGUAUGACUCUGAGUUACGCCAGAGAAGAAAUAUAUACAUAGAUAUCCUCAACUGUGUCAUAGACGUCUACAUACCCGUGUUUUGUGGAUGUAUUGUAUGAUAACCCGCUAGAUAAGUACCAAAAACAUAUCUCAAAAUCUCAUCUCAAAUUCGGAACUCAAAAACUCAAAGUCUCAUCUCAUCAAUCCAUGAUAUUGCACAAUCAUAAAUCUGUAAAAUAAAUCAUAUUUGAAAGCCAUAAAAAACGGGAAUCCAAUAAUUUAUAUCCUUUAGUAAAACUUAAUUUUGAUAUAUCAUAAUUAUUUCAAAAGCAUUAAUAUAGAAUUCACAAGACAUAAUAGAAACCAUGUUCAUUUCAUAAAAUAUGCAAUGCAUGCAAACCUAACAUUUUAUAAAACCAUGCAAGUUAAGAAGGGGUCCACUCACAGAUAUUUUGUUGCCCAGGAACCGCUUAAGCUAGUGAGGAUUGAGUCAUUUUCCACCGAUGCACCUAACCACAAUUAGGAACCAUUUAGUAAAACUCUACUAAAACAUUAGAAUUUGAGAAAACAGACGGCGGAUUUGGAUUUGGCACGUUGAAAAACCUAAAGAGGCACCUUGGGUUUCCCCCAUGUGCCAUCGCACGAGCUGCCACAGGGCGGUGGCCCGGAAGGCCACGCCCGGUUUCCGGCGAACGAAAACCCAAUUUUUUUACUUACUCUAAAAAUUGCCAAACUUUUACAAGCAAGUAGAGCUCAAUGAAAGGAACAACUUUCAUACAUGGGCCGAAGUCCAAUUCGGCCAGAAAACACCUCAAAUCACCCUCGAUCCGCCGGAACCCUAUAAAUGGGUAUUCAUUUAUUCGUCCUCAAAUCGAACUCCGAUGCCCCUGAUCUUGUUUGGGGCUUGUUCCUGGGGUUUAAGGAAGUCCUUUAGUGGUGGUGGUGCUGGAAGGAAUAAGCUUCAAAAAUGGUCGAUCACCGAUAAAGGGUUUUCAAACCCGUGGGUACUGUGCACCACGAAAUGUGGCCAAAACUUGUCGGGUUUGAGGUGGGAAUCAUAAGAAGGAUUAUGUGGUGAUGUUUACAGGUGGUGGUUGGCCGUGAAAAGCUAGAAAAACGCCUUGAAAGGCGUCAGAAAAGUGGCAGAACACCAGGUCAGAGACUGGGUCGCAACUGGAAACGGGUUGGGUGGUCUAGGGUCCAAUUGGCUACUCCUCACCUUUCUCAUUUCUCUCAUUUCUCAGCUUUCUAAUUGGCCGUCCUCCCUACUUUCUUCUCUCAUCCCUCCAUCUUGGCCACACAUGUGGCACCAUCUCAUUGCUCCAUCAAAUCUGGAGCCUUCUAGAUGAUGGUCAAAUUAUCAUUUUGCCCUCAACUUCGUAGUUCCGUAAAAUCCUCGUUUUAGCUCCAAAUUUAAUUUCACUUGUGCCCACGCGUUCGUAACACUGAGUACUACAAGAAUAUGCCAAGGAAACGGAUCUUACGUGACACGACAAGACGGUCAACAAAAGUCAACGCAUUUACCUCGAAUGGCAUUUUUUUUAAUUUCACAUUUAAAAAUUAUAAAAACCGUAAUAUUUGGGGACAGGUUGUUACAAAAUAGCACUUGACAUUAUUAACAUUUCUGGUCAUGUUUGACAGAAAAGUCUAGGUGUUUAUAUCUUUUAAACAAAAGUUAAAGGAAAAAAAAAGAAUAUUUAAACAGAUAUCCCUUUUAGCCAUUUUAGAUGCAAACUCAAAUAGUCUUUGAUUACAUAUGCAAUACAACAUUAGACAAAGGAUCUUAAUGUUCUACAUUUCAAAAAUUUCCAAGUUCAAAACGACGUCUCUUUGGCCUGAUUAUUUUUUUUUAUUUUUAAAAAAGGCUAUGCAGCCAUCGCUACGCAUCAACAAGGAGCAAACUUGCUAGUUUUCCGAUGAACCAGAAGGGCGGCCCAUCGCUCUUGUGCUCGAUUUCUGGCAAGCGGAGGUGCGUCCUAUGCAUGUAGCCUAAAUCCACUAGUAACAUGUCCUUGGUUAGAAAAGCAAUUCAACAUUAGAUAGAGCGUCCCAACGUUUAGUAAUGCCUUAGUUAAAAAUGUAUUUCAAAUUUCUCUAAUGUUUUGUACUAUAUUUCUGCUACUUAGUAUUAUGGUUUAGUCGUAUUCUUCCACUUAUAAGUAAAAGAUUUUAGAUUUAAAUAUCGAGUUCAAUACUAAUUUAUUAUCUUAUUUUUUAGUUUAAAUAUAUUGUUGUAUUAAAAAUAUGUUUUGAAAUGCAAUUUUUAUUUAUAGCCCAAAUCCAUUAGUCCUGAAUUAUCUCUUAUUUACCCACACCAUUUGGAAUACCAAUUGGGCCCUUCAGCCUGUAGGCUCCUCAAUUCAAGCCCAGAAACCACUAAAAUAUUUUCAAGGUGCCCAAAGAAUUAUUGAGCCAACUCCACUACAAAAUUGGAAAGAAAAACUAGGAAGAUGUGAUUAUGUGAGGCCCAUUCCAUGCAGAAGAGAAUGGAAACUGAUCAGAGAAACUCCAUACCGCCCAAAAAUCUUCCUGAAAUUUAGACCGCAAAAACUAUUGUACUUUCUUUGUACAAUCAAGUUUGAAUCCAUCGCUCGCAAAGUUUAGAUUAGAUUAAUUAGAGAAGAAAAAAUUAACAUAUCCAAGCAUAUAAGCCUCUGCACUUAUCCUUUAAAUUAGUUAAUGAUCUUUCAUGCUAUAUCUGAACUGAACAAGCUAGUCUGGGACAAAACUGAAAACCCUAGCAAGGUUGAGAAAACUGGGUUUUUGCAUAGAUUUUCAUGGCUGUUCUGAUGCUUUUGAAAACCCUAGCAAGGUUGAGAAAACUAGGUUUUUGCAUAGAUUUUCAUGCCUGUUUUGAUGCUUUUGGUACGGUUUCUUGUGUGGUUUUGUGCUAAUAAGAUUUUGUGUCGCAUGAGCUUUCCAACAGUAUACCAUACAUUCAUACGCGUCUGGCGUCCCCAUUUAAAUGACAAAAGAAAUUAAAGCUCAUUUGCCUUUGUACAUUACAACUGAAAAAAAUGGUGAUAAUUUUUCUUUUUUUUCGGUAACGACUCCGGAUCAUAGAUUAAGAGCUGGUUUGGUAUUGCUGUGCUUUGAGAAAAAACUACUGUGAGAAUAAGCGGCUGUGCUGUGAGAAUGAGCGGCUGUGAAAUAAAUCAGUAGAGUGUUUGGUAGUGAGUCUUUUCAUUAAAGGAGCACUGUAGCUCCGUGUGCUUUGAAAAAAAGCCAGUUUUCCAAAGCUGCAAAUAGCAGCUUCAGCUUUUUCUUUUGAUUUCAGCUUAUUCUCACAGCAGCUUCCAAAAUAAGCCAUUUUUUUUAGUUUACCAAACACCUAAAACCCUCACAGCUUUUUUUCAUAAGUGUUUUUUUUUUAAACACCUCACUCCCAAACCACCCCUAAGUCACAGGGAAAAGCAAGAUACAGCAGAUGUAAUCUAUAUACUUGUUUCUAUUGAAUGUUUGUUGCAAUACUAUAUAUAUGAAACCUUCCCAAUCAAACAAAACGAUAUAUCUUUGAGAACUGGCACGGGCCAAUUGCCAAAACCGAGCAUUGCUCAACCACCUGUUGAGAAAAAGUAGAAGUACCACACCAUCCUGUACCCCAUCGUUGCCAAGCUCACAAUCUUGAGGAAGUGCCUCAAGCUUUCUCAAUGCAUACAUUUAACUAUGCGGCUGGGGCAACAGCUCCUGCAUCAUCGUCGUCAUCGUCGUCGUCAUCCCAAUUAUUCUUUUUGUAAACAUAGAGCUGAGUCUUCAUCAGGUCCUCCUUAACAACCAACUUGGAAGAAUUCCAAGUCGCCAUAGCAAAUGAUAUAUAUUUAUAUAUGUGUGUGUCUGUGUUUAUAAAUAAAUAUUAAAUCGCUUAAUGACCAACAAUGGAACUGCUUACCUAAGAAAAUGACCAAGAAACUAAAUAAGUCAUGUACUGCAGGUAGACCUUUAUAUUUUAUGCUGGAGACUGCAGU
rnacentral:lncRNA from 1 species